rnacentral:lncRNA from 1 species
UAUGGUUUUCAUCGUCUUUAGAUCUUGAUUUCGUGAUUGGUCAUCUACUCUCAGCAUUACUGAUUAAUUUCUGUUCUAAUGUAUCAUCUUGUGGACUGUCUGUGAUUUGAAGCAGUUAAAGAUCUAAUUUUGAUUCUGUCUUAACAAUUUUCAUCCUCUUGUUGCCUUGAUUCGUAGUUGUAGUUUUAUAAUCUUAAGUGCUGAGUGUAGCUCGUUGGGAGGCUAUGAAAGCCCCAAGUUUCAUAUGAUAAAAUGUGAGCUUUCAAACUUUGUUGUUGUUUCUGCAUUUAGGACACAUUGAUUUUUAGAGUUUCUGAUUUCGUUAUAAUUCAUCUGGGAGCAUUUGCUUUUGUUCAUACAAUGUUUUUGAUGAAAAUUUUCUUCGAAUUCGACUUUCAUGAAUGCCGUAUUGUUUAUAUGAUGACCUUCUAGCCUAAGGAUUGUUGCUAAUAUCCUGUUCUAAAAAAAAAGAAGGGUUAUUGAGUCACUUUAUUCCUGUAAACGAUUGAGUAAAAGUGCAGUGUUUCUUUUCUGUUAAAAAGGAUGAUAGGGUCAAAGGGUUUUGCAUUCUCUUUGGGAGUUGCUAUUAGGAGCCUCCUUUGAGACCAUUAUUUAUAAAGGUUAAAUAAAAAGAUGUCUAUUCUAUUUAUAUUAUAUUCUCUCAUUUAACCUGCUUUGAUAUGAGUUUAACACAUACACUUGUAGUUAUUCAUUGAAAAUUGUUUCAAAAAAAAAAAAUUAGCUUUUCUUGCGUCAUUACUAACUCGUAUGAGCUUGUAUAUCUCCUUUAUGAAACUUUUAGGAUCCUGUUCGUUUGUCUAUUAAAUGCAUCUCUUCUUGCAUCAUCUUAUUGAUGUUGGGAAAAAAAAUGUUUUUAGUCGCAUUGUUUCUCCCCUCUUUCCCAUUUACUUCAGUACCUAAGGUUAAGUGUUUUGAUCCGUUUGAAUAUCGAAUAGUUUCCACGUUUUAUUUAAAGCCAUCCUUUCUUUUUCAUAUUAUUGUUUGCUAAAAAAUUUUUGAUAGGAUAAAAGUUGUUUGCGUGCUGUAUGCGUGGUGACAUGCCUAAUAAUGUGCUUACUCUACGGGGACAUGUUGUUAUUUCUUCUCUCAAAGAUAGGUCUAGUAAAUUUGGGAGAAAUUCUAUUUUAGUUGCUUCCUGAUUCUUCGCAACUCUUUGUUGUUAUCUUGAGUUUUAGUAAUAGCCAUCUAUACCUAAAAGGGCUAGAGAACAAUAAUCAGCAAAAGAAAAAAAUAUAUAAUAAUAAUAAUGAUUAACUCCUAAGCACAUCAAAUUGGUCUGAUUGCUAUUUUCCAUCACAAUGCAUGUGUGAAGUUGAUUCAUUUCUCUUGAAAUUCUAUAUUUUGAACCAUCAUGGGUUCCUUUUCAUCGAUUGAUCCAUCAUACUACUUACUUGUGUGGCGUUUGGUAUUCUGGAUGCGUUUUGAUUUCCUUUAUAUUUUUCCUUGCAUGUGAAUUCGUUUUGGAGUCCAAAUGGAUUCUUUCCCAUUGCAUCUCUUAAUGGGCCAUUCAGGCCCUCCAUUCCUAUCAAGUCAAGCCCUGAAAAAAAGCCUAAAAUGAAUUGCAUGGCGUACGGAUAUGAGAAGUCGAAAGAAGAGAGAAGAUGGAUUAAAGCCCCAUUUUUAAAGUGGCGAAGAGACUCAAAAGUCUCAUUUUUUAGUUUAUUUAUUUACUUAUCGAUUUUAUUCAUUUAUUUCUUUAUUUAUUCAUUUGGGCCACGAAGCCAAAGUUGUGCUUAAUAUAGGUAGAGCGAUACUAGGACAGGUGAAAUGGGUCGAAAUCCCAAUUAGACUAGGACAGGUCUUAUUGAUUUGGGCCCAGUGGCCUAAAUCCCUUACUUUCUCCCCUUCCCCUUUUUCUUUACAUUUCUUUACCUUAUGUGUUUUGGUGAACCUAGUUAAAUCCUUAGUCAAGUCGAUAAAAAGUUAGUUCUGCAUAAACACCAAAAUCUUUUUCAAAAAUUGCCUUCUUUUCAAAACUAAACCUUUUUCCAAAGUUAGUCAAAGGCGAUUUCCAAACAGUCCGGAUAACCGCAAGUUAGCGGACGUUUUAGGUGCCUAACACCUUCCUAAAACAUUAAUAAGAACCGCUUACUCAGAAUCUCUUAACUUAAACAAUUUUUCUUUUUUGGAUCGUUUGAAGUAACUCUAUAAAGGUUUCUAAAUUCCUUUUCAAAAUUAAGUGGCGACUCUCUUUCAAAAGUCAAAAUUUCCGCAAAACGCGCUUCAGCCAUAAUUCUCUGCCUCAAAUCAUUAACAUUCGGAACACAGUCUACCUUGCAAUCUCAACAUAUCAUCUACCCCUUGGGAGAAAACCUCUACCUUAUGGUCCUUAACUGAAUCCUUCAGUCUGACCAAAUAGGAUCCCUAUCCUGCUUCUUCUUUACCUCCAAGACCAAAGAGGACUCGAAACUGCUCUAAACUAACAUACUCCCUUCUGCGGAAUCAAGAAAUCUAACACCCAACCUAGACAAACGAUGCACAUCACGAGCUAAUUCUUUCUUAUCAUUCUCUAUAUGAGCUAUACUAACCAUAGACAACCUGCUAAGAGCAUCUUCCACAAUAUUGGCCUUGCUAGGGUGAUAUAUCACACUCAUAUCGUAGUCUUUUAGAAAAUCUACCCAUCUUCUUUGUCUAAGGUUUGUCUCCAGAUUUUCAAAGCAAAAACUACAGCUGCUAAUUCAAGAUCAUGGGUUGGGUAAUUCUUCUCAUGAGGCUUCAACUGUCUAAGGCAUAAGCUAUAACUUUACCCUUAUGCAUCAACACACAACCCAAACCAACUCUAGAAGCAUCCCAGUACACCACAAGACCAUCAGUACCAUCGGGUAAAGCUAACACUGGGGCUGAAGUGAGUCGAGUCUUCAACUCUUGAAAUCUCUUCUCACAGGCAUCUGUCCACUGGAACUUAACUUUCUUUUCGGUCAAUCGGGUCAUGGGGGACCCGAUUGAAGAGAAGCCCUCAACAAAAUGACAGUAGUAACCAGCUAAACCCAAGAAACUCCUAAUAUCAGACGGGGAGGUAAGUCUAGGCCAAUUCUUCAUAGCUUCUGUCUUUUGAGGAUCAACUCUUAUACCUUCGGAAGAAACAAUAUGACUCAGAAAAGCAACUGACCUUAACCAAAAUUCACACUUGCUAAAUUUAGUAAAUAAUUAAUGAGCUCUAAGGGUUUCCAACAUGAUUCGAAGAUGAUCUUCAUGGCCAUCCUUACUUAGAGAAUAUAAAAGAAUAUCCUCUAUGAACACAAUAACAAACAAAUACAGAUACCACUUGAAAACUCAGUUCAUAAGAUCCAUGAAAGCUGCUGGAGCAUUGGUUAACCCAAAGGACAUGACAAGAAACUCAAAAUGACCAUAGCGGGUUCGAAAAACUGUCUUUGGAAUAUCACACUCUCUCACUUUAAGAUAAUGAUAGCCGGAUCUAAGGUCUAUCUUUGAGAAAUAACUUGCACCCAGUAGCUGAUCAAAUAAAUCAUUGAUUCUAGGAAGAGGGUACUUGUUCUUAAUAGUCACCUUGUUGAGUUGAUGGUAGUUAAUGCACAUACGCAAUGUACCAACUUUCUUCCACACAAAUAGAACAGGUGCACCCCACGGGGAAACACUGGGUCUGAUAAAGCCUUUUUCUAAGAGUUCUUUGAGUUUCUCCUUCAACUCUUUAAGUUCUGCAGGAGCUAUACGGUAUGGAGGGAUGGAGAUAGGCUGAGUUUCAGGAAAAAGAUCAAUCCUGAAUUCUAUUUCUCUAUCAGGUGGGACCCCUGGAAGGUCUUCAGGGAAAAUAUCAGGAAACUCUUUAACAAUGCUAAUUGACUGAAUAGUCGGAGUCUCAGACUUGAGUUCUUUAACUCGAACUAGAUGAUAGAUGAAACCCUUGAAAAUCAACUUCCUAGCUUUGAGGUAGGAUAUGAAAUGGCUCUUUGGAGUUAUAGAACUCUCGAACCACUCAAACACGGGUUCGUUAUGAAACUAAAACUUGACCACUUGGGUAUGACAAUCUAUAGACGCAUAGCACGAGUGAAGCCAAUCUAUACCCAGAAUGAUGUCAAAAUUAACAAUAUCUAGCUCAAUCACAUCAGCACAUAUGACCCGAUGAAGGACAACACCAGGACACUUCUUAUACACUCGCUUAGAAAUAACAAACUCUCCUACCAGGGUAGAAACAAGAAUAGGCUCAGGAAUCCAUUCAAGUUCCAUCUCAAAACUUAUAGCAACCAGAGGUGUUACAUAAGAGAAACUUGAACUGGGGUCCAUUAAUACAUACACAUCAAAAUGAAAGACAUGGAGCAUACCAGUGACAAUAUCUGUAGAAUCCUCCUGCUCCUGGCGAGGUGGUAUAGAACAGAAGAAAUUCUGGAAUGAACCGCCAACAGUACUAGAAGAGACGCCCUGCGGAGGAACUGGGCAGACUACGAGAACGAGGGCACUGGUAGCUUGACUCUGGGGAUGAGCAUCUUGACUCCCCUAUCUGGCAUACGGAUAAUCUCUAAGUCGGUGGCCCAACUUGACAAAACCAAAGCAACCUCUCUGAUCAACAAAACACUUGCCAAAAUAAUCUCUACCAUACUUGGCAUAUAAAGGAAGACAAGGUCUGUUACUUACACUUUCCUGAGAAUUGGACGGGAUAGGCCUGUUCCCCUGCUCCUGCCUACUUCUAGGUACGGAAGCACUAACUAAGGAAGGCGCGGGCAUAAAUUGACAUCUCUGGAAUUAAGGGAAGUCCCCUCCAUAGAAUCUGGAAUGACCAAAUCCCUGCUGCUCUGAUCUAGCUAUUUUAUUCCCUCUUACUCUCUCUCUCUCUCUUUUUCACCUUAUCAGCUUUAAUCUGUUGGGCAUGCAUCAUUAAUCAAUAAAGGUCCAUCUCCUUAUUAAGCAUAGCAGAUCUACCCUCUUUCACAAUAUAACUCGACACACCGGUCACGAACUUACUCAUAAUGGUCCUGGAGUCAGCCAUUAUACUAGGUGCAUAUUUGGACAACUGAUUAAAUCUAAGGGUCAUGGAGCCUUGUCACAAAUUCAUAAAUUCCUCUAUAAUUGUUUCCCUCAUCUCAAGAGGAAAGAAUCUAUCCAAGAACGCAUCCUGGAAUAACUACCAAGUCAUGGGAGCGGGAUCCUCCACUCUACUUUCCCUCCACACUUCCACCCAAUCAUAUGCAACAUCUUUCGCUCGAUAGGCAGCCAAUUCAACACUCUCCUCCUCAGUCACGUGCAUAAUCUGGGUGAUCUUUCUCACUUCAUCCAAGUACAUUUGUGGGUCUUCACCUACCUUCGACCCAUAGAACUCAGGUGGAUUUAUCUUUAUAAAGUCACAAACCCGAGCUGCAGCAAAAUUAUUCUCUUGCAGAAGUGGAACAGUAGCCUGGUUGUUAGCUUGAGUAUUGCGGUAACUGCCUGGGCUACCACCUGAAAAUCUGCCCAGAAUUAUGUAUGUGACACAUGCUCGUUCAGGGGAUCAAUGGGUUAAGGUUGCUUAUUGUUUCUAUGAGCUCAACGAGGAGACAUUUUCUGUCAUAAGAGAGGCCGAAUUAAUAGCAGAGAGAAGUAGUCGUAGGCACGAUAGACUUUUGAAUGAAAAAUAUGACUUUCCCUAAAACUUCUUGUAGCCUCUAGCUCAUAGAUAUGGCGCGCUACACACCGAUGAUCAAGAAUCUACAUAACAUGGCUUGCCUGUCAUCACUUCUAGAACUCACUUUGACAAUUGUCAUUCUAAUAUAAGAGAGAAUGACAUAUCAUAAACAUACUGGAAUAAGAUACGAAACUAGCCUGUACAAUCCAAAAUACUGAAAUUCUGUACAUACCAACCCUUUAGCCUGACAAAGCCUAUAUACAUCAAAAUCAAGGAGACAAUGUGACAAACCCCCAAAUGACUCAAAAAGUAAUGAAAGCUAUAACAAUAAAAUGGUAUCACAAAAUUAUAAACACGGUCCUCGAACCAUGGGGACUCACCACUGAGAAGAUGAAAAGAGGCACCCGAAUAUAUAUCACUAACGCGGCUGAGUACCUGAACCUACAUUACGAGAAAAUGUAGCCCAUAGGAAAAUAUGUGGGUCAGCACUUUAAAAUGUAUUGAGUAUGUCAGGGUGCAUGCAACAAUGUAAAUAUCGUCAUCAAUUUCAUGAAAGUAUGCAUAUGUACAAUGAUGGCUCAUUUGGCUUGCGGUANNNNNNNNNNNNNNNNNNNNNNNNNNNNNNNNNNNNNNNNNNNNNNNNNNNNNNNNNNNNNNNNNNNNNNNNNNNNNNNNNNNNNNNNNNNNNNNNNNNNNNNNNNNNNNNNNNNNNNNNNNNNNNNNNNNNNNNNNNNNNNNNNNNNNNNNNNNNNNNNNNNNNNNNNNNNNNNNNNNNNNNNNNNNNNNNNNNNNNNNNNNNNNNNNNNNNNNNNNNNNNNNNNNNNNNNNNNNNNNNNNNNNNNNNNNNNNNNNNNNNNNNNNNNNNNNNNNNNNNNNNNNNNNNNNNNNNNNNNNNNNNNNNNNNNNNNNNNNNNNNNNNNNNNNNNNNNNNNNNNNNNNNNNNNNNNNNNNNNNNNNNNNNNNNNNNNNNNNNNNNNNNNNNNNNNNNNNNNNNNNNNNNNNNNNNNNNNNNNNNNNNNNNNNGUCGUACUCUUGCCAGGGAGUAUAACCUAAAUUUAGUGAUCACAAUCUCAUACACAGCCUCAGGCCCACAAUUAUCAAUAUCAAUCCUACGGUGGCACGUAGUUUUGGGGGAAAUACUACAUUUACCACUUGGUGCUAAAUAAUACUCCUAGACACAAGCUCAGAGCGUGUUAGGAAAUCCACCACAAACAUCACAAGGGUCUAUCAUAAAGACCAAAUGAAAUCUCUUUGUCAUUUAUCAAAUCAUAAUCAAUUUGUGGAUUCCUAACUCUACUCAAAUCAAAUCAAUCUUUCUCAAUAUUAAAAUGAAUCAAUUCAUUAUGUCAUGGAAACAUCAAUAACUUUGAGGAAAUAUCAAGACUCAUUGUAACAAGUCAAUUCUCAUGAAUCAAUAUACUCAAUAAUCCAAUUGUUCAUAAGGAAGGUUAAAGCUUGACACAUAGCUUGAAAGCACUAGAAAUACCAACUCAUGGACGAAACUUGAAAUUCAUAAUAUUAAAUAUCAAGUCAUAACUUGGAAAUUGUAAAAUAAUCAUGUAUAACAAAUCUUGAACGAUUUAUAUUCUCAUAAUCUCAUGAUGAAUUAAUCUGGGUAUAAACCCACUUGCAAAAUCAUAUAAAUCCAUAAUAAAAUCAAAGCUUUGAGCAAAAGAACGAAAUAAUUGCUCUUGUUCAGAACCCCGCAUACCUUAAUCUUUGAAAUUGGUUGAAAUAUAGAGCUUGAGACUUUACUCACACUUGUAAUUAAAAAAUUUCUUGAAGCCCACUCUAUGAGGAACUUGAUUCUUGAAGGAAUCUUGAAGAUUUAUGGAUGAUGUUUGGAGGAUUAAUUUCCUUAAAUAAAACCCUAGAUAUAUUUCUUAAGAGAAUUGGAAGAGAGAAAUGAAGAAAUCAGGUUUUGGAUGAGGAUUCUCACAUAUAUAGAGGCCUCCAAAAAGGGAAAAGGACUAAAAUACCCUUGCAAAAAUCGUCCAUCAAUUGCUGAAAAAAAUAGCUGAUGACAUCCAUGAUAAGCUGUUAGGCCUAUCAUAGGCCAUCACGAAUUGUCGUCACAAAAAGGGUGGACUUUGUGAGGUGACGACAUUUUGUGACGGGCCGUCAGGCUUGUGACAAGUCGUCACAAAAGGUCAUCACGGAUUUUUCAGUAUGACACGCUGGAGUAAAAUAAGCAUAACUCUUUGCUCCGAUAUCGGAUUUUAAUGAAAUGGGUAUAGUUGGAAAGAUAAUUCAAUUAUAUAUAUUUUGGUAGGUCAUGAGAUCAAUAAUUCCUAGUACAAUGGGAGAUAUUCUCAUUUAAAGUUGACUAUGUGAAAAUCCUUCUCAAGAAUUCAAUCGGUAAAGAAUGUUUUGAUUCGCCCAAGCGUUAGGGCAUCUUUAAAGCCUUAAUAAACAUCACCCUUGGCCAGGAAACAACCAAAAAACUAUAAUUUAUUUCUCAUGGGAUUGUGUCAUGGUGGCACUAUUGGUUAGAAUCUCGGGGUAUUACAAUCCCUCCCCCUUGGAAACAUUCGUCCUCGAAUGUUGCUAGAUCGGCCAAGAACAAGUGAAAUAUGAGGAUUUAUAGCUGGAACAACUCACUCAAAAGACUUACUUCACUCUAUACCUUCGAAUAGUACAGAAAAUACACGAAUCCUUGAUGAAAGUAGACACACUGCUGAAUCUUUAAUAAGAAGGAGGCGGAAUUAAGAAAGAAUGAUACCUUCUGCUCGCUCCGAACUCACAGAAAAGAGUCGAGGGUACUUGGCUCGUAUAUCAGCUUUGUCUUCCCAAGUAGCACUCUCAACAUAUUGAUUUUUCCAAAGCAUUUUUACCGAAGGAACUUCUUUAUUCCUUAGCCUACGGAUCUACAAAUCCAAAAUCUCAACCAGAAUCUCCUCGAAUGAAAGGCUAUCCUGAAGUAAAAUAAGUAUAAUUCCUUGAACCGAUAUUGGAUUUUGACGAAAUGGGUAUCGUUGGAAAUUUAAUUCAAUUAUCUAUCUUUUGGUAGGUCAUGAUCUCAAUAAUUCAUGGUACAACAGGAGAUAUGCUCAUUUGAAGUUGACUAUGCCAAAAUCCGUCUCAAGAAUUCAAUCGGUAAAGAAUGUUUUGAUUCGCCCAAGCGUUAGGAAAUUUUUAAAGCCUUAAUACACAUAAACCUUGACCAUAAAACACCAAAAAACUAUAAUUUAUUUCUCAUGGGCUUGAGUCAUGGUGGCACUGUUGGUUAGAAGCUCGGGGUAUUACAUUAUUACUUUUAAUUAUCUUUGCUACUUACCUUUCUGCAAAUAUAAUGCAAAUUUAUCUUAUAAUGUUAUAAUUGAAUUAAAAAAAUAUUUGAGAUCAACCACAUAUUUUUGAUAGUAAAUGAUGUAUUAUAUUUCUAUUAACAUAGUGAAUUACUUAUGUAGGACUUAAUUACCUGCAUAACUCAAUGCUAAAAUAAUAUAUAGAUAAUCCCUAAAUUAAGUAAAUCUGCAUAACUCUAAUUGAGGCCCUUUCAUUAUUUACUUUUGUCUUCUAGGUUUAAGUGGGUAAAUAGAUGAAAAGAAAAAGAAAAGACUCUCACAUCUAGUUUCCCCAGAAGCACCUCUUUGGAAGAAGCGUGUUGUUGAAGCAACUCAUUUUCAGAUUAAAGCAGUCUUUUGUUUUGUUCCUCCUUAGAAACAAAAGCAUGAGCCGGGGCAACCAUUUUCUUUUCUCACAGGAAAUGAAGAACAAGAAGAACACUACAAUUUAAAAGCAAGCUUUAAAUUUCAAAAACAAAAUAGAAAUCAUGAGAGCAAAAGGGGAAAAAAAUGCAAAAAGACCUCACCAGUAGUAGGCUACAAAGGAUGAGAGAGAGAGAGAGGAAGGAGGGUUAUGUUAAAAAUGAAAUGAAUACAGUGGAAGCAGAGCACAUCUAUCAAAUAUUCUUUAAAAACACACCAGCUACAUCACCGACGUUUCAAAAUCAAGGCAACUUUUUAUCCUGUUCAGAAAAAAAUUUCAAAGUGUGAGUUGGACUGAGGUUGUCUUAACUACGUAAAUUGGUUUUCCCUCUUAAAAUAUUCAUUUUUAUAUUCCUUUUAAUUGAACACAAUUUUAAGAGGGCUAACUAAUUUACGCAGUUAAGACAACCUCAAUCCAACUCUCACAUUUUGAAUUUUUUUUCUGAAUAGGACAAAAAGUUGCCUUGAUUUUGAAACAUCGGUGAUAUAGCUGGUGUUUUUAAAGAAAUAAUAUAGAUGUGCUCUGCCUCUACUGUAUUCGUUCCAUUUUUCAUAAAACCCUCCUUCCCCUCUCUCUCAUCCUUUGUAUCCUAGUACUGGUGAGGUCUUUUUGCACUUUGUUUUUCCCUUUUUGCUCUCAUGAUUUCUUAUUUUGUUUAUGAGAUUUAAAGCAUGGCUUUAAAAUUACAGUGUUCUUCUUGUUCUUCAUCUACUGUAAGAAAAGGAAAUGGCUGCCCCGGCUCAUGCUUUUGUUUCUAAGGAGGAACAAAAUAAAAGAUUGUUCGAAUCUGAAAAUGAGUUGCUUCAAUAGCACCCUUCUUCUAAAAAGUUGCUUCUAGGGAAACUAGAUGUGAGAGCCUUUUCUUUUCUCUUUCCAUUUGUUUAUCUACUUAAACCUGAGAAGCCAAAAGUAAAUAAAAAAGGGGCCUCAAUUAGAGUCAUGCAAGUUUUUGUACUGUAGGGAUUAUCGAUGUGGAAAUCUAUAUAUUAUUUAUGCAUGUAUUAACGUAUUGCUUGGUAGUUGAUUUAGCAUUGAGUUAUGCAGGUAAUUAAGUCCUCCAUAGUUAAUAUUCAAAUAUUAGUAGUUGGUUUAGCCUACGUUUACUCCUAUUAACAUAGAAUAGCCCUCGAAACCCCAAAAAAGGCCCAUAAAAACCCAUCUACCAAAUAGAUGGCUCUGUAGCCUUUCUCAACUAGUUUGAUGGCCUGCUUUUAGGGCCCAAAUAUGGAUGAACAUAGUUAUGCUAUUCAAGAAAAUUAUAGUAGUACUAUUGGGACUUUGCAUUAAAAGGGAAAAAUAAGUUGUCUAGUAAAGUGAGAAUCCUUCAAGUUUUUAAAAUUAGGUGGGAGGGACAAAAGUUUUUUGAAUAUUUAUUUUUAGUUUUUUGUUCCAACAACUUCUCCCAGUUGUCAAAAAACUUUGAUAGUUGUUUGAAAACUUCUAGCAGUUGUUCAACAACUAUCAAAGUUGUUCGAUAACUGCGGUAAGUUGUUCAACAACUAGGCGAAGUUAUUCGGCAACUGGGAGAAGUUCAACAACUAUGUGAAGUCGUUGAGACAACUAAUGUAGUUGUCGAACAACACCAGUUGUUCAAAUGACUUAAUCUUUUUAAAAGGGACAAGUUGUGGGACCCACUUUUUCCCUUUUCUUACUUCGAAACGUGGGAGGUCUAUUGAUUCAUUUUUCACACUUAAGUAUUUAAGUUGUAUAUAUCAUGAACUAGUUAGCUUAUAUUUGGGUUGUAAAUUGUAAUAUUAAGUGUAGAGAUAGUCCUAUAUACAUUUAGUACGUCAAAGAAAGCUACUCGAAAACAUUGUGCAAUUCAAUUUGUCGCAAGAAGCACUUAAUCAUCACGCAAAUACUUAUUGGUUCCGAAUAUUUAACCCUAAUCAAUGAUUUUAAUACUAAUGAAUUAAGAAUAUCAGAUCAUUCAAUCAUGAUAACAAAAAUAAUUUAUAAAAGAUAUUAUCUUGUAAUAGUGGGUAUAAGGAGAGGUAGAUGUAGGCUGAGGAGGUCUUGGUAAAGGUGAUUAAAUUAGGUACGUGUAGCUUUUCGAGGAUAUGAUCUAGAUAUAAAAAUGCGGAGAUCAAGGAUGUGGUUAGUGGGUGGAUGAGCGCUGUCUAAUUUCUCUAUUAAGUAGUCAUUUUUUUAUUACUUUCAUACUAUCUUAUUCUUCUAUAUUAGAAUAAUUUGUUUGCUUUUAGUUCAGUUAUCAUAUUAAUUGUUUGUCGGUUCUACCAUUUUCAGAUUUACUUUUUUAUUUGUCUUACAUGCCUAAUUUUGUUUUAUAUGUUUUACUUGAGUUGAGAGUUGAGAGUCAAUCGAGAACAACCUCUCUAUCUUCACAAGGCAGAAGUACAUGUCCAUACUACCUCUCCAAACUCCAUGUGUAAUAUUAUGAAUGUUAUUAUUGUAUAUAUCUUGAAUUGAUUGAUCAAAUGUAAAUACCCGAUGUUGCGGUAUACUUAUACCCAUGGGCAUAGGGAUGGUCUCAGAAAAAGGGUGAUUUGAUGCACAUCUUUUAUCAAAUUAUUAUAGUGUACAAAAGCUUAAUAUUAGCUAUAAUACAUCUAUAUUAAAUUUAGUACAUACUUAACACAACUAAAAAGAAAAUAUGCACACUCCUCGUCAAAUUUCUGACAACGACACUGCUACUUCCUCAACUAUGAACGUGUUAAGAUGACGCCAUAUAGCAUUUGUCAUCUGCAUGACGCCCAAACUCUUUUAUCACUGGACCUACCCAACCUGUCACCUCAUUUUCUGCUUUUAUAAUUGCAUAUCCUUCCAAAUUUCAUACACCAUCCAUUUCAUUUUAAUUAGAUUAAAAAUAACUAUUUUAAUUUAUUUGUGUAAUUUAUAAAAUUAUAAUAAAGAUUAUUACGUGAAGUAUUAAAUGAAGUGAAAGGUGUAUUCUACGAAUAUAUAAAGGCUAGUUUCAUUCAAUCCGUAUUCCGUACUAAGCUCGGAUCCAAACAACUCUAUAUAUAAAUAAUAAUAAUUAAAUUUUAAAAUAUAAUGUAUAUUAUAUUUUUUACUUUAUAAUUAAUAUAGUUUAAUGACCGAUAUGUUAAAUAUAUUUUAUUAAAAUUUUUAUAAUUAUUAAAGUUCUUAAUCACAUAAUUGGAUAAGUUUUUUAAAAAAUUAUUUGUAUGGAAGAAAGUAAUACAGGAGAAUUAGAAUAUAAAAUAACAUGAUACAACAACAACAAUAACAACAUACCCAGUGGAUUCCCACAUAGAGGGGUCUGGGGAGGGUAGAGUGUACGCAGAUCAUACCACUACCUAAGAUGAAGUAAAGAGUCUUUUUCCGACAGACCCUCGGCUUAGGACCGAUAGCAGUAUAAUAAACACAAAACAUAAAUGUAUAAAAACUAGUACAGUCUGCAAACUAAACUAACGUCACUAGCUAUAAGAUAAUAGUUAUACUACAGUCACAAGAUAAUACUAAAACUAUCUAUCCGAAAUCAUACACAUCACUCAACACCACAAACAAGAAACUUCGAGCACAAAUAAAGAAUGCUCCCCUAUUAUUACCGACACACUUUCAACCCCUAACCCUCUACUCUAAUCGGCAUUCUCCAUACCUUCCUCAUCACAUCCCUCCAAUAUUUGUUCAGUCUACCUCUACCCUACCUAAAAUCAUCCAUAGCCAGUGUCUCACACCUCCGCACUAGAGCAUCAGAGCCCCUCUUCAUCACAUGUUGUCACCAACGUAACCUUACUUCUCGUAUCUUGUCCUCCACCGAGGCCACUCCUACCUCUCCCAAAUAAUCUCAUUUCUUACCUUAUCUUUCCUAGUAUGGCCAUACAUCCAUCGUAAUAGUCUCAUCUCCGCUACCUUCAACUUAUGGAUGUGGGAGUUCUUAACUGGCCAAUACUCUCCAUACAAUAUAGUCGGCCUAACUACCAGUCUGUAGAACUUCCCUUUAAGCUUUGGGGGCAUCUUAUUAUCUUAUAAAACUCCCAAAGCGAGCCUUCAUUCAAACCAUCCAAUCCCAAUAUUAUGUGUGACAUCCACGUCAAUCUCACCAUUGCCUUAAAUCAUAGACCCCAGAUACUUGAAACUCUCCUUCUUCUGAAUGGCCUGAGAGUCUAGCUUCACAACCAUGUUAGCAUUCUAUGACACAUCACUAAACAUACACUUCAAGUACUCUGCCUUGGUCGUGCUUAACCGAAAUCCUUUAGACUCAAGGGUCUGUCUCAAAAUCUCCAACUUAUCAUUAACUCCUCCCCGAGUCUUGUUAAGAAGUACCACAUUAUCAGCAAAUAACAUACACCAAGGCACCUCAUCUUGAAUAUGUCUUGUCAAAACAUUCAUCACCAAGGCAAAUAAAAAAGGGCUAAGAGUCAAACCCUGAUACAACCCUACCAAAAUCAAAAAAUGCUUUGAAUCUUCACCUACCGUCCUCACCCGAGUCUUUGCGCCAUCAUACAUUUCCUAAAUCAACCAAGUGUAUGCAACAGGCACCUCUCUAGCCUCGAAACACCUCCAGAGAAUCUCCUUGGGAACUCUGUCAUAAGCCUUCUCAAGAUCAAUAAAUACCAUGUGAAAGUCCUUCUUCAUCUCCCAAAACUGUUCCACUAAUCUCCUCAUAAGGUGAACGGCCUCAGUAUUCGAGCGACCUAGCAUGAAAUCAAACUGAUUCUCAGCGGUAAUCACGCUCCUUCUCAGCCUUAACUCUACCACCCUUUCCCAAAUCUUCAUAGUAUGACUCAACAACUUAAUACCUCUAUAGUUGUUGCAACUUUGGAUGUCUCCCUUGUUCUUUUACAAUGGAAUAAUUGUACUCCACCUCCAUGCUUCAGGCAUCCUUCCCACCCUAAAAAUGAUGUUAAGAACCUUGUCAACCACUCCAAACUUGCCCUGCUAGUGCAUUCCAAAAAUCCACUGAAACCUCAUCUGGCCCCAUCGUCCUACAUCAACGCAUCGUGUGAAUAGCCCUCUUAACCUUCUUAACCUCGAUAGGCCUACAAUAACCAUAGUCGUGACACUCCUCAAAUUUCUCCAAGUCCCCAAACACGAAACCUUGGUCCCCCUUAUCAUUCAAAAGUUUAUGAAAAUAGGACUGCCACCUUUUUUUAAUGAGGGCAUCCUCAACCAACAUAGUACCAUCCUCAACCUUGAUGCACUUAUCCCUGCCUUUCUUCUUUAAAACCGCAUACAAGCUCUAAAAAGAUGUCAUUUUAGCCACUGUAACCGCUAACUUAGCCUCUCACCUAGCUAUCGCUUGUACUCUUCCUUAUUCAUCCGCCUCUCUUGAUCAUUCUUGCUCUCAACCAAUUUAGCAUAAGCCACCUUCUUAGACUCCACCUUUCUCAUAUAUAUUCAUUCCACCACUAUUCCCCUCGAUGUUUUCCAAAUUGGCCUCUCAAGAAACUAACACCUCUCUAGCGAUCACCAUAACUUAUAUCCAUCCAUAUCUCUCACCUUAGUGCCUACCAUUUAGUUUCCUGGACACACGUUAUACUAACCCUCCAUUUUCCAAGAAUCUUCAUCAGCUCUAUAGUCUUAGCUUGAAGCGUCUCUAUGUUCCAGGAUUCAACUUUCAACCUAUAAUCACCCUUAUCCAACUUAGCCGUACUAUCCCCCGCCCUCAACCCAAGACUAAAACCUAGACUCGACCCCAACCCCAACUUCAAUCAAUGACAUGACCCUAGUCCAUCAUAUAUCACCCCAACCACCACUCAAAAGGAUACAAUAGAAGAAAAUAAAGAAAAAAGCUGAAAAACAUGAUGAGCAAAAGAGUAUGACUAAAAACAGCUAAAUCAGCAAACAAAAACUGGUAAGCAGGAUUGAUACUCAAAAGCAACAACAAGUACUAUUCUACUCACUAGCAACAAACACCUACUAAGUUACAGAGAAACCGUAACCAAUAAUCCCAGAGGAAUACUUAAAAAAUCAAAUAAAAAAUCAGGAUAGAAAAGAGACAAGAAGCAUAUACCAAAUAAACUAGAGAAGACUGAAAUGAGUGCACCUAAUACAGGGAGAAGACACAGUGAAAGGAGUUUUCCUAAUCGUUUUGUCGAAUUCCAGCAAAUUGGUGCAGAAAUUGGUCGUCAGAAUUUGUUGCGAUCACCUUUACCCUACUGCUGGUACCGCAUCCCUGUACUUGGAGGCUAGAGAAUGUGCUAGUCGCGAAAAAAAUGAGCAAGACACCGGAAUCUUGAUGUCACCGCCUGAAGUAUAGAUCUGAACUUGAAGUACCUGAAAAGGGUUAUAAAGAAAAUAAAAGAGAAGAAAAGAAAAGUGACGAUCAAAUUGCCAAAAAUUGACGUCACUCACUAAAAACUGAUGCGUUUGUUGGGCCACAGAGAUAGGCCACUAAAAAAGUCGCUAUCAUUUUAAUGGUCGGCGUAAGAAGUGAGAGAGAAAAAGACGACGAUUAUGCUAGAAUCUGAUGGGGUCGGCGAAACUGAUAGGGUCGUCGGGACGUGUUUAUGGUGGCCGACACAAGUAAUUUACCGGCGGCAGAUUAGUAGUUCUUUGCUAUCGCCAGAAUCUUCAAGACACGAAGAGAUAGGUUAAUUUCUUCGUUGCCAUCGAUUGAAAAAUUGCAAGAUGCUAAACCCUCAGCAUAUAUGACAACUACUAAUGUCAUCAAUUUAACUUGAAACGCCCGUUCAAUAAAAUAACAUGUCAAUAUUUUAAUAAUUACAGAUCCAUUCCGAUUAAAAAUAGAAAAAUAUUGAUUUUAAUGAAUUUAUGGGUACAAAAUUUCUCAGUUAUAAAUAGAAAUAAAUUUAUUUUAAUAUUUAUUAUUUUAUUUUCAAAGACUUGACUUUACCUUAAUAUUAUGAAGUAAUUUCACUACUAAAAUAUUCAAGAAACUCUUUUCUAGUCUAGAAAUACUCCCUCCGUUUCACAAUAAGUGAAUUAUUGAAGCAAUUUUAGUGUUUCAAAAUAAGUGAAUGAUUCACAAUUCAAGGUAGAUGUUUGAAUUUUUUCCAAAUUUACCCUCCAUUAAAUGUGCACUAGGACUGAUGUAUCAUGUUUCAUUGCUUUUUGAAGAGGGUAAAAAUGAAAAAAUAUGAUAAAUUUAUGUCUUUGCUUUUUUUUUUCUUAACAUGUGUGCCGAAAUUCAACAAUUAACUUAUUUUGGAACGGAGGGAGUACUAUAUUUUUUUUAAGAAGUGAACAUCAGUGACUAUAAGGGUGUAGUUGAAAAUUAUUACUAGCUUUAAUUUUAUGUGAAAAUUUAUUUCUAAAAAAGUUUUUUGAGCCAAAAUAAUUAUUAAUUUAAAAUGAAGGAAAUUUUAAUAAAAAGACAACCUGUGGCAAGAAAAAAUCAGUUACAAAUACACAAGAGGAAAUGGUCUUAACAAAAAGAAUAAGGACAAAAAUAAAAAUAUUUAGCAAUAGAACAUCAUCAAUCCUUGUGAGGACUACCGAAAAUUGAGAUCCUCCCUUAUAUAUAAUAGUAAAUUGUAUUCUUUUUUCAUAUGGUUAACACUGUUUGCAAUAAAGAUUACAAUGACAGAAACAAAUUGCAAUCACAAUGCAUAUAAAAUAUGAAAAAAUAAGAAUUUUAUUGAUAAAUGAUAUGGAUAUAAUUCUGUUACUCCCUUGAUUCUUCUUUCUUUAUUUUUCUCCGUAAUUCGAGGAUCAUUAGUAGCGUACUUCUUGAAUGUAGAAAGAUUUAAAUUUGAUAUGAAUUUUUAUCGUAUUUCUCGAAUGUAAAAAGAUUUGAAUUUGAUAUGAUAUUUUUUGUAAUUCAAGGGUCGUUAGUAGCAUAUUUCUUGAAUGUAAGAAGAUUUAGAUUUGAUAUGGAUUUUCUUUGUAAUUCAAAGGCCGUUAAUAACAUAUUUCUUGAACAUAGAAAUGUUUGAAUUUGUUCUCCAUAAAAGAAGUGUUUAUGGAUCUUCUUGAUAUAUUUGAUUAUAAAAAAGAGAGUGAUAUUCAAUGAGUUUAUGAAAUUAUUGGGAGAUGAUUAAUCUCUUUAUUAAGGGUUUAGAGUAGAGUAGCCACCAAGUUAGGUUUGGCGUAAAGUAACCCCUAAUAACUCUAACAAAAUUGAAUUCUUAUUAUAGAGUUCACAAAAUUAUGAUGUCUAUAAACGCUUUGUAUUGUCAGACGUUAUGACUACAAAAUCCUUUGCUAAAAUGUCAAAAUACAAUUAUUUUUAUUCUUUGAGAUGAUGAAUGAAGUACGUGUUAAUUUAGUAGAGUCACUUAGCUCAAGUCAUUCAUGCGGCGAACCAUGAAAUCAGAAAACUACAUCAAGCUAGAAGAAGAGAAAAGCAAUAACAAAAAUACCAUAUUUAGCACAUUUUCAUAGCUUGAACUCGUGACCCCCUGAUCACAUGGAGGGAACUAUCCACAAUAAUUCAAAAAAAUACUUCUCAUAGAUAAUCACAAAAUCUCAAGCAAGACUAAAUCUUUUAAGAAUUUUACUACACACAAAGACAAAAACAAAGGGCAGUCCGGUGCACUAAGCUCCCGUUAUGUGCUGAGUCCAGGAAAAAAUUGGACCACAAAGGUCUAUUAUACACAGUCUUUCCACUGUGGACCCCUCUUUCCGUAGCUCGGACCUAUGAUCUUCUGGUCACACGACAAUAACUUUACCAGUUACGACAAGACUCCUUAUCUUACACACAAAAAUAACAUUUUUAAAAAUGAAAUCUUUAGCAAUUUUUUAAAAUUCUUUCUACCCAAAUUUCCAAGAUAAGCUAAAAUAUAACACUGAUAACAUAUGGUUAAAUAAACAAUAAGAAAAAAAUGCAAACUACCCAAAAAAAUUCAGGCAAAUAAAACUUGUAAUACAUCAAGAUUAAUUUUGAACAAUAGCUUAAAAAAAAUCUCACUUUCUCACAACUGAAUAAUUAAAUUCCAACUUUGCCUUAACAUUAUGUCUCCAUUGAUGAUGGAUACUGUAGCAUUAAGAGCGUUACUAAAUAAUGAAAUAUGACAUUCUUUUUGGGACGGACAAAAAGAAAAUGACGACAUAUAUAAUAGGGCAGAGGAAGUAUGUUAAUACUAAAAGGGUAGCUUCAUGUGGCGGUGGAUGUAUGUUAAUACUAAAAAGGCAGCUCGGUGUACUAAAACUUCUUGCUAUAAGGGACUGCAGAGAAGGGCUGGACUGCAAGAAUUUUAUUGUGCACAACAUUAUCUUGCAUUUCUGACAGAGGCUGUUUCUAUGACUUGAACUCGUGACUUCCCAAUCACAUGACAAUAAUUUUAUCAGUUACUCUAAAACUCCCCUUCAUAUUUUUUUUUUGAUUUGAUAAAAAUAUUAAAGAUACGUAAAAUAUAAAAGAUACACAUAUAAUUCUUUCUGCAAACCCACUUAUAUGGAGUAAUAAAAACUUAUAAGGUAUCAAAAAUGAUAUAUGCAUGGGAUUUCCCUUUUGGUUAAAGUUUUAACAGGUUAAUUUCGUGUAUAAUUGUAGACUUUUACUCAUUAAUGACAAAAUUAUUGAACUUUACCUCUUUAAUAAAGUAGUAGAUUUAAUGGCAUUGAAAAUCAUUAAUGAGUUUUUAUUAUGUGUUUAUAUAUAUUGAGUACAAGAAGUGAUAGACAUAUCUAAAACUAAAUCAAUCAAUUAGAAAAACAAUUUCUAUUCCAAUGGAGAACUUCCUCCAUGUUCACCUUUUGAUUUCAAUUAUUUUCUCAAUUUUGCUUGUAAUUUUAUGCAAUGAACAUUCUUUUUCAUCCCUUAACACCAGUUACAUUGUGGAAUAUGUCUAUUGAUCCAACGAAGCUUUCCGAUCCUCCGAUGCCAUCCUAUACACUCACCAUUUACAAUCUCUAUUUAUUUGAAAAGUCAAAAUUCAAGGACUAUGACUCGUUUCUUAGAAAUAGGUUCGCCGGUUGUCAAGCUAGGGCAAAUCAUUUGGCAUCGGUUCUUGAAAAUGGUGACGCGAUUAGUACGAAUGGAACUCUGGUAAGGCCACACGAUGAGCAUGAGAGUAAAGUGGCCAACGAAAAGGUUCUGGUAACAACAAGUAUACAUUUCAUAUGUCAGUAUGUUGUAUCUUUUACUCUUUUUUUUUUGGUUUCCCAUCCGGCACCUGGUGCCCGCAUUGGAGCUUCGACUAAUCUGGAUACACGUUGCAAGGCCCAUUAAGGUGGCAGCGCUCCCAACAGAAUUUUCUCCUAAGGGUGGAGCAGCCUCAUCCACUACACCACAACCCAUAUUGGUGCAUCUUUUACUCACUGAACAAGUUAAAAGUUACUUGCUAAUAGACACUGGUAGUGAUUUAGUUUGGUGGAAAUGUGGACCAUGUAAUGCAAAUGGAUGUUACAAACAGAUAAAUAAUCCUUUAUAUGUUUCAACUAAUUCAAAAACAUAUCGAAAGCUCGAUUGCCUUGUAGAAAGUAGAAACUGUGAAAUCACGAAUAAGGAAUAUGAUUAUAGUCCGUAUAGUAAUACGUGUAUGUAUAAUUACAAAUAUGUCAAUGGAUCAAGAACAAGAGGCUGGAUUGCACACGACGUGAUUACUUUUGUUUUAGGCCGAAAGCAGGUAAGCAUUGUUUUUCGAUGUGGCAAAGAUGAAACUCAUGGAAAGCCUUUUAGUGGUCAAUUUUCUAGAGAUGCUAUCCCCGGACGUAAUGGGUGGUGGAAAUCAUUUAGCAUCGCAAUUUAAAGCUGACAUAAUGUCCAUGUUCCUACCGGGAGCUAUCUCCACAAAAGGAUCAACACUUGGCUUCCACACAAUGCCAUUUAAGAAAACAACAUCAGCAACGCUAUUACAUGAUUUCAGAUUCCUUUCCGUUUACUUCGUCAUCCUUUAUAAAGUUUUCAUUAAUGAUAGGGAAGUCCCGAUGUUCCCAUCAUUGUCUAGGAAUUCUAGAAAUUAUGCCACAAGCGGUAGCUGCAUCGUGGACACAGGAACAUUUAUUUCCCGUUUUCCUCAUGAUUUUUAUAUUGUAUAUUACACAUUCAGAUAACAAUUAUGUGGUAUUCCUAUGGUUAAUGUUCCACCUGGAUCAGUUUAUGACACUUGCUAUAAAGUGGAUACAACUGGUCUGGAUCCACAUUUCCCCAUUGUGACCAACCAAAUGGCCUCUCCGACACUAACAACCCAAACUCCCCUUUGCCUCAGCCUGCCUGGGAGCACUUGGUCCAUUUUCUACCCAAAACAUACAUGGUCAUUGGGGCCACCCCCAGAACUGUGAUCUAUAUAGCACACUGAUUUAGCCCAAGAAUGGCCUAUUUGCGUCGUUUCAUUUGUUUGACCACCCAAAUAGCCCAACCGACCCCAACGACCCGCACUAUCCCACUUUUAAGCCUGCCUUGGUGCCUCUGGUCGAUUUUUAGACUAAAAAAGCUCAAGCCCUAAGCCAACCCCUAAAACCGUGAGUUAUAGCACGUCUAUUUUGCCAACAAAAUUGCAUAUUUUUGACAUUUUGCCUGUUUGACCACCCAAAUGGCCCCACCGACCCAAACGACCCACUUUUCCAUUCAUCAGUCUACUUGGAAGCUUUAAUCUAGUUUUGACCCAAAACACGCCUAAACCCCAGGUCCACCCAGAACUGUGAGCUAUAGCACACCAAUUAUCACUGAAAAUGACCCAUUCGCGUUGAUAUUCUAGUUUGACCACCCAAACAGCCCCGUUGACCCCUACGACCAAUACUUUUCCGCUCUUCAGCCUACCUGAGAGCCCCCAAUUGACUUUUAACCUAAAAUAUGCCUAGGACCACCCCAAAAUCAUGAGCUAUAGCUCACUAAUUUGGCCCAAAAAUGGCCCGUUUAUACCGUUUUGCUCAUUUGACCAACUGAACGAUCCCGCUGAACUCAAUGACCCACAAUGCCCCGCUCCUCGGCCUGCUUGGGAGCCCUCAAUCGAUUGUUGACCUAAAAAACAUUUGGUCUCUGGGCCAACCCCCAGAAUUGUGUGCUAUAACACACCGACUUGGCUUGAAAAUGGCCCAUUCGUAUCAUUUUGCCUGUUUAAUAACCCAAAUGGCCCUGCCGACCCCAACGGCCCACACUUCCCGCUUUUUAGCCAACCUGGGACCCGCGAUCAAUUUUUAGUCAAAAACAUGUGUGGGCCUUGGGCACACCCUCUGAACCUUAAGGUAUAGCACCCCAAUUUUGCCAAAAAAUAGCCCAUUCAUACCAUUUCAUCCGCUUGAUCACACAAACGGCCCUUCGCCACCCAACAACCCUCACUCUUCCACUUAUUAGCCUGCCUAGGAUCCUCUGGUUUAUUUUCAGCCUAAAACACGCCUACGCCCUGGGGCCACUUUCGGAAUCGUCAGCUAUAACACACCGAUUUGGCCUAAAAAUAGUUGGUUCAUGCCAUUUCACCCGUUUGACUACGCAAACGGACCCACUAACCCCAACGACCUAUACUCCCCCGCUCUUCAGCCUGCUUGGGAGCCUCCGAUCAAUUUUUAGACUAAAACACACCUGAGCCCCGGUCCCACCUCUAGAACCAUGAGUUAUAGCGUAAUUAUUUGGCCUGAAAAUAGGAUGUUCACACCGUAUCACCCGUUUGACCACCCAAAUAACCUCAAGGAAUUUUUGGACAAAACAUGGUAGGAGCUCGGGUGGGACUCUCAGAAUCGUGAGCUAUAUCACAUCGAUUUAUCCCAAAAAUGGCCCGUUCAUGUUGUUUCACCUAUUUGACCACCUAAACAGCCCCACCGACCCCAACAGCCCAUACUUCCUCACUUAUAAGCUUUCCUGGGAGCCCCUGAUCGAUUUUUAGCCCAAAUACGCCCAUUCUCCAAGCACACCCCAGAACUGUGAGCUAUAGCACAUCAAUUAGGCUCAAAAAAUGGCCCGUUGGCAUAGUUUUGGUUGUUUGAUCACCAAAACAACCCCGUCGACCCGAACAACCCUGACUCCCUCGCUCCUCAACCCACCGAGGUGCCCCUGAUUGAUAUUUGGCCCAAAAAAUAUGACCAAACACUGGCACACUCCUAGAAUUGUGAGGUACAGCAUACCAAUUUAGCCCAAAAAUGGUCCGUUUAUCCCGAUUCACCCUUUUGACCCCCCCAAAUAGCCCCAUCAACCCCAACCACCCACACUCUCCCGCUCCUCAGCCUGCCCAAAAGCCCUCGAUCAAUUUUUGACCCAAACCACGCUCGGUCCCUUCACUCACCUUUGAAAUCGUGGGCUAUAUCACAUUGAUUUUGCUCCGAAUUAGUCCGUUCGCGCCUUUUUGCCUGUUUGACCAACCAAAUAGCCCUACCGAUCACUGUCUACCCCAAUGACCCAUACACCCCUGUUCCACAGCAUGCCUGGGAGCCUCCAGUUAAUUUUCAGCCUAAAACAUGCCUGGGCGCUGGUCUCACCUACAAAACCGUAAGCUAUAGAACACCAAUUUGACAAGAAAAUGGUUUGUUCGUGCUGUUUCACUCGUUUUACCACUUAAAUGGCCCCGCCAACCCAAACAACCCACACUUUCUCGCUCCUCAGCCUGCCUAGGACCCCUGGUAAAUUUUUUGCCCAAACCAUGCCCGAGCCCUAGGCUCACUCCCAAAAUUAUGAUCUAUAACACAUCGGUUUGGCCUAAAAAUGCUUUAUUCGUGCCAUUCAGCCCGUUUGAUCACUCAAACAGCCCCGUUGAACCCAAUGACCCAUAUUUUCUCACUCCUCUUGCUGUCUGGGAGCCCUCGACCAAUUUUUAACCUAAAAUAGGCUCGAUCCCCAAGCCCACCCUCAAAACCGUGAGCUAUAGCUCACCUACAAUUUUGUUCGUUUGACUAACGAAACGGUACCGCUGACCUUAACGACCCACAAUUCCCCGCUCUUCGGCCUGCUUAGGAGCCCUCAAUCGAUUUUUGACCCAAAACACAUUUAGGCUCUGAGCCAAUCCCCAAAAUUGUGAGCUAUAACACACCUAUUUGGCCCGAAAAUAACCCAUUCAUAUCAUUUUCCUUGUUUAAUAACCCAAACGGCCCCACCGGCCCCAAUAGCCCAUACUCUCCACUUUUUAGCCAACCUAGGAGCCACGAUCAAUUUUCAGUCAAAAAAUGCACGUGGGCCUUGGGCACAGCCUCUGAACCAUGAGGUAUAGCACCCUAAUUUUGCCAAAAAAUAUCUUAUUUGCACCGUUUCAUCCGUUUGAUCACACAAACGGCCCAUCUCCACCAAACGGCCAACACUAUUCCUCUUAUUAGCUUGCCUAGGAUCCUCUGGUGUAUUUUCAGCCUAAAACGCAGCUACACCCUUGGCCCACACCCAAAAUCGUAAACUAUAACACAUCGAUUUGUCCUAAAAAUGGUUUGUUCAUGCCAUUUCACCCGUUUGACCACCCAAACGGCCCCACUGGCCCCAACGACCUAUACUCCCCUGCUCCUUGGCGUUCGUGGGAGCCUCCGUUCAAUUUUUAGACUAAAACACACCUCAGCCCCGGGCCCACCCCCAGAACAAUGAGUUAUAGCACAAUGAUUUGGCCUGAAAAUAGCACGUUCAUGCCGUAUCGCCCUUUUGACCACCCAAAUGGCCUCAGGGAAUUUUUAGACAAAACAUGGUUGGGACUCAGGUGGGACCCUCAGAACCGUGACCUAUCACAUCGAUUUGGCCUAAGAAUGGCCCAUUCAUGUUGUUCGCCUGUUUGACCACCUAAACAGCCCCACUGACCCCAAUAACCCACACUCUCUCAUUUAUCAGCCUGCCUGGGAGCCCCCGAUAGAUUUUUGACCCAAACACGCCCAGUCCCCGAGCACACCCUAGAACCGUGAGCUAUAGCACACCGAUUAGACCCAAAAAAUGACCUGUUGGCGCAGUUUUACUUGUUUGAUCAUCCAAAUGGCCCCGUCGACCCAAACAACCCUUACUCCCUUGCUCUUAAACCCACCUGGGUGCCCCUGAUUGAUAUUUGGCCUAAAACAUAUGACCAAACCCUGGGCCACUUUCGAAACUGUGAGGUAUAGCAUAAUAACUUAGCCAAAAAAUGGCCCGUUUAUGUCAAUUCACCCUUUUGACCCCCCAAGCAUCCCCGUCGACCCCAACCACCCAUACUCUCUCGCUCCUCAGCCUGCUCGAGAGCCACCAAUCGAUUUUUGACCCAAACCACGCUUUGUCCCUUGACUCACCUUCGAGAUCGUGGGCUAUAUCACAAAAAUUUUGCUCAAAUAUGGUCCGUUUGCACCCUUUUGCCUGUUUGACAAACCAAAUAGCACUACCGACCACCGCCGACCCCAACGACCUACACACCCCUGUUCCAUAACAUUCUUGGGAGCCUCCGAUCAAUUUUCAGCAUAAUACAUGCUUGGGCGCUAGGCUCAUCUCCGAAACCAUGAGCUAUAGCACACCAACUUGGCCAGAAAAUGGUUCAUUCGUGCCGUUUCACUUAUUUUACCACUCAAAUAUCCCCACCAACUCCAACGACCCAUAAUUCCCCACUCCUCAGCCUACCUAGGACCCUUGGUUAAUUUUUUCCCAAAACACGCCCGAGCCCUAGGCCCACUCCCAAAACUAUGAGCUAUAACACACCAAUUUGGCCUAAAAAUGUUUCAUUCGUGCCAUUCAGCCCGUUUGACCACUCAAACAGCCUCGUCAAACCCAAUGGCCCAUAUUUUCCUGCUCCUCUUCUUGUCUGGGAACCCCCGACCAAUUUUUGACCAAAAAUAGGCUCAAGCCCCAAGCCCAUCCUCAAUACCAUGAGCUAUAACUCACUGAUUUAGCCAGAAAGUUACCCAUUCGUGCCGUUUCUCCUGUUUGACCACCCAAACAAUGCUAUCGACCCCAAUAGCCCUCUCAUCCUGUCUGGGAGACGUCGCUUGAUUUUUGAUCCAAAAUACGUAUGUGCCAUAGGCCCACCCGAAGAAUCGUGAGCUAUAACACAUUGAUUUGGCUUGAAAAUAGUCUAUUCACAUCAUUUAGCCCAUUUGACCACCCAAACGGCCCCGCCGACAACAACAACCCACUCACCCCUGCUUUUUAGCCUUUUUGGGAGCCCUCAAUUGAUUUUUAGUCCAAAAUAUUUUUGAGUCCCGACUCCACCCCCAAAAUCGUGAGCAAUAACACACCGAUUUGGCCCAAAAAUGGUCUAUUUUCAUUGUUUCAUCUCCUUUGACCACCCAAAUGGUUCCAUCGACCCAAAAGGACCAUACUCCCUCGCUUUUCAUCCUGGCUAGGAGCCCCUAGUCCUUUUUCAGGCCAAAACACAUUGGGACCCUGGUCCUACCUCCAAAACCAUGAUUUAUAGCACAUCGAUGCACUAGGAUUUCGUUAUAUGUUCGGUCCCGCUCAUGUUUCUUCGGUCCACCUCUACCCCACCUAAAACCAUCCAUAACCAGUAUUUCACAUAGCCGGCCGGACGACCACUCUGUAGAACUUAUCUUUAGUAUUCGAGUGCCUCUUCUAAUCACAUAGAACUCUCGAAGCGAGACUUCAUUUCAACCACCCUGCCCCAAUAUGAUGCGUUACAUCCUCGUUAAUCUCAGCAUUGCCCGGAAUGAACCUGACUCUGAUACCAUAUUGAAGUGAGUGACCAUCUCAUCUAAGAGUUUAACUAUUAGAGAGAGUACACUUUUACUAUUUAAUUAUAUUCUCAACAGUUACUUAAUAUGCUAUUUUUGCAUUGAUCAAAUGAACUUUACGUGGCAUUCUAAACUAAAGGAAGACACAAAAUUUUUCUUUCAAACAGUUCAAGAAAGAAUCUUUUGUCCUUUUGAAAAAGAGAAAUAAAGUCACAUUUGUUGGCUUGUUUUGUCCCUACAGUUGAACUAAGAGAACUUUGAGUUGAGGUUUUUUCUAUUAUUAAGGAUGUCCAAUUUUGGAAAAGUACUACUCCUUUCGUUUAAAAAGGAAUGGUAGACCAAACAACAUAUUAAUUUUAUAUAUUAUAUUAACUCCUAACUAGCUACCAAACCUGGAAUUACUUAUGUAGGAUUCCUACAUAACUCGUUGCUAAGCUAGCUACCAAAUGACCUCUUAAUACCUUCUUUCUUUGUUCAUUGAGGAGACAAAGACCAAUGUAAGCAUAAUUUAAUUUAUGUGUAUAAUAUGUUCAGAACCAAGGUGCAGAAUAAAUACUUUACAUAAAUACAAAACUUCCUAAAUGAGUUGAACCAACUGAUAUAAACGGUUUGAUUCACUCAGCUCCUGAUUCAUCAAUUGAUGACCACAGUAUUUUUUCAUGAGAUCUGGCAGGUAGUUUUUUUUUAUAACCUGAUUUUUUAUAACAAAAAAAAAAGUACCACUAAUGACUCUGCAACAACAAAAUCUUUUGAAGAAUCCAAUGAAAGUUGAGAGACUCUCUUCUCAGCUAUAGCUUUUGGUGAAUCUCUUGUUGAAAUUGAUUAAAAUUAUUUACUAUCAUUUCGACCGGUUUUGUCAUUUUUCUCAUUUUUAGUUCUUUUUAUAAAAUUCAUUAUUGGAUCUUUCNNNNNNNNNNNNNNNNNNNNNNNNNNNNNNNNNNNNNNNNNNNNNNNNNNNNNNNNNNNNNNNNNNNNNNNNNNNNNNNNNNNNNNNNNNNNNNNNNNNNNNNNNNNNNNNNNNNNNNNNNNNNNNNNNNNNNNNNNNNNNNNNNNNNNNNNNNNNNNNNNNNNNNNNNNNNNNNNNNNNNNNNNNNNNNNNNNNNNNNNNNNNNNNNNNNNNNNNNNNNNNNNNNNNNNNNNNNNNNNNNNNNNNNNNNNNNNNNNNNNNNNNNNNNNNNNNNNNNNNNNNNNNNNNNNNNNNNNNNNNNNNNNNNNNNNNNNNNNNNNNNNNNNNNNGGGUUUAAAAUCCUUAAGUUUUUUCAAGGUGUUUGUGCUUUUAUCAUGUAUUGUUACUUGAAAAAUUAUGUUAUUUUGGCGUUGAACUAAUGAACUCUACGUGGACUAAUAAACUGAAGAAUGACACAAAAGUUUUGUUUCAAAUAGUUCAAGAAAGAAUGUUUUGUCUUUUUGAAACAAGGAAAUAGAGCCACAUUUCUUCCACUGAUUUGUCCACUCAUAGUGCUCUUGGUUUUCCCGCCUUCCACAAAAAACCUUGCAAUAGAGAUUUCCAAUUCAUCCUAGACAAUCUCAACACUAAGUUGGCUGGAUGGAAAACUAAAUUCCUCAAUAUAGCUGGCAGAAUCACCCUUACCAAGUCCUCCCUUGCUAGUAUUUCUGCUCAUGUCAUGUAAUUCAUUUUGAUCCCCACAAAAAUCCACUAAUUGAUUGACAGAACCCAAAAGUACUUUUUCUGGGGCACCACCCCUGAUAAUAAGAAAAUGUAUCUAAUCAAUUGGGAAACCUUGACUAAUGCUAAAGCUAAUUGGGGCCUGGGCUUCCAGAAAGCUUCCAUUAGGAACACCACUAUGUUAUCCAGUCUAGCUUGGAGACUUUAAAAGCAUCCCAACAGUAUCUUGGCAAAAAUUCUGUAAAAUAAAGUAGCCCCCAUGGCAUAUUCAUCAAAGCCAACAACUUUAGAACUUGGAAAAGUUUCUUUGUGGGUUGGGAAAUUUGUAAAACUGCCUCCUCUUUGAAUAUCCAUAAUGAUGACAAGAUCAACUUCUGGAAGGACAGAUGGAUGCCUCACUGUGAACUCCUUCUUUCUGUCAUCCAAGAUCUUCUUCCUUAUUAUUCCCAAGACAUUAAACACUCUGAGGUCUAGAGAAAUGGCUUCUGUAACCUCAAGGAUCUUCCGAUUGAAAUCCCUAAGGAUGUCAUCCAAACUUUAACCAACUUUAUUUUCCCAAAUCCCAGAGCCCAUACUGAUGAGCUCAUUUGGAAUCUCACUGGUAAUUGUCUGUUCUCCAGCAGAAGUGCUUAUAAUCAUAUUGCCAAAACCUCUGAGAUCAAUUACUCCUCUAAUUUCAACUGGAUAUAGAAGGCUAAAUCCCUUAAAAAUUUAAAACAUUUAUUUGUUUAAGCCAGCAUAAUAGUUUCCCCAAUAACCUUAACCUCUCCAAGAGAGGAGUGAGACAAAAUACUAGUUAUGCUAUCUGCAAUCAUCACCAGGAAGAAAAAUCCCACAUUUACUUUAAGUGUCCUAUCCUCAACGAUUUGGGAGUGCAAACUAUCCACAAGAUGACCCAGUCCAAAAACCUCCUAUUUCCAGUCUCCUACCCUCUUACUAGCACAAUAUCUGGAGAUCUCUUCAACACUCCCAAUUCAACAGACUAAUCCACUGGCAUGACAUCAUUCCUUUUAACCUCUAGACACUCUGGGACACCAGGAACUCUAAUACCUUCAAGAAAAAAAGGGACCAUCCCAAUUUUAACCAUGCUUACUCCCAAACUAUUUAGUAUAAACAUCUUACUCAAAAGAAUACCCCAAUCAAGCAAAACCAAAUCAUCAACAUUAAGUGGAAUCCUCCCACCUGCCAUACCUUCAAGCUCAAUACUGAUAAUUCUUGCCUUAGAAACCUCGGGAAGGGUGGAAUAGGAGGGGUAGUCAGAUCCAGUAAUGGAGGCUGAGUGUUAGGCUUUAACAUAAACUUUCACCGGACUACCAAAAACAUGGUAGAGCAAAAUAAUCUUCUCCCCACUAAAAUUAACUUUGAUUCCUUGGAAGUGAUAUCUAUGUUAAAAAACGGGAACCUCCACUAUGAUACUUUAAUUUUGGAAUGCAGGUCAAAAUUAAAAAGAAUAAGGAAUUCGAAAGUCAAGUACUGUUAUAGAGAACAAAAUGGAGUGGCGGAUGCUCUAGAAAAAUACAGAGCAAGGGCAAGCGGGUUUUAGGAGACUACCCUUUUUGAAGUUCCACCGAUAUGUGCAAAAGAUGCAGUUUUAGCAGACAUCUCAAAAACUUUUUGAGAGAACAAUUAGGAUGAUUUUAAUUGGCCAGGCCAGAACUAUUCCUUUUUGAACCCUGACUAAUCGUCAAAAAUUGAAACUUAAACUGUAUUCUCUUUUAUAUUAAUGCAUGUCCUUUCUACCAAAAAAUAAUAACAUUAUUUCGCAUAUUGAAUCACCAAAAAGAAGAGAUAUUUAUACCAAUUUAAAUUGAUGGACCUUGAACAUUCACAAAGAAAGAUAAGUUGAAAAUGUUAUAUCAUUCUUGCAUAUCGAAAGAAUGUUAUCAAAUCAAGAAUAAUUUUUUUAAAUGAAAAAUUAAAAAAUGCAGUAAAUAAAUUCACGAAUAGCACGAAUGAUAGAGAAGUAUAUGUAAGAAAGGCUAAGUAAUAGAAUUUCAUUUAUAUUCAGAUUUCAUUUAAAUACAAAUUCAAAUAUCACAUAUGUUUAUUAAAAUAAGAUUAAUUUAUUAUUCUUCCUUAUCCUUAUCCUUACAUUUUUCAAAUACAAUAUAUAUUUAAAAUUAAUAUAGAUUUGAGUUGAGAUAAGUAUUGAAAUCAACGAGACAAUACUAAUACUAAUACUAAUACUAAUACUAAUACUAAUACUAAUAGUAAUACUAAUAUUAAUACUAAUAAAAAUAAUAACAUUUUAACUAUUUUUAUUUUACCACUAUUAGAUUGUACUCCUAUUACUAUUACUAUUACUAUUAUUAUUUGUUCAUUGUUAUUUGAGAUAAAUAUUAAGAUAAAUCGUGUAGCAAAAAAAAAAAAUUGUGUGCCAUGAUUAUUAAUUUAGUACAUCUAAAUUAUAAGUUUAUCUUUGAAAGUAUGUUUUAUCUCCAAUUUAAAUUCAAAAAAAUUUGAUAGAAUAUCCAAUAUCUUAGAUGAGCGGUUAAAACCUUCAAUACAGGUCAGGCUCGUUGGGAUGGCCCGGCCCAGCCUGUAAUUUGAUAGGGUUGGGCUAUAAUUUUUAUAGCCCAUUUAAGAAUAGGGCUUUUUAGCCCUUCAUGAAUAAGUCUAUUGACCCGUCGGCUUGAGCCAUAUGGGUUUGCGUGACCCGUGGGUCAAAUAAAAAAUAAAAAAAUAAAAUAUAGUACUAAUAAUAAAAAAAUGAGUCCAAACUCAAAGUUUAUAUGAACCAUCAUAUAUAGAUUUUAAUAUUAAUUAUAUUUAAAUAAUAUAUAAAUAAUUUACAUAUAAAAUAUAAGUUUUUUAAGAAAUCAAAUAUGUUUGAUGAAGAUGACGUGGCGAUGUUGAAUACACCAUAAAUGCCAUGAGAGUUUUCUUUAAAGUGUUUAUUUUACUUUUAAUGGACUAAACAUUGACAUUUCUUUGUGUUUUAUUUUGAUCAAUUAAAACAAAAUUAGGUUAAUAUUGUUAUUUAGCGAGUUAUAUUAUUACUCAUUAAUUAUUUUAUUUAUUUUUCAAUAUCUNNNNNNNNNNNNNNNNNNNNNNNNAUCUUUUUGUAAAUUUGAGACUUGAUUAAUGAGUAGUAACUUCAAGCAAUAUUAUAUUGUAAAUAUUUAUGCAAUUAAUAUUUUAAAAUUUAAAUUAAGAUUAUAAAAAUAAUAUAUUUUAAAAAAUGGGCUGGCCCGUGGAGGCCCACAACCCAUAGUGUGACGGGUUGGGCUUGCUAUUUUCUAGUCUGUCAAGUUGAUGGGUUAGCCUGACCAAGCCCGUCAAACUCUAAAGCCUGUGUGAGCUAGCUCGGAUGAGCUGGUCUGAUCCAUAUUAACAACUUUAGGAGCAGUUAUAUAACAAUAAGAAUCUAAUUAGAACUAUUUAGUAUUAUAAUUAUCUACUUAUAAUAUGUAAUUUUAUAUUUUUUUAAUAUUAUUUUAAAUUUAAAGUCAACAAUUUAUUUGUAACACCCCAAGAUCCCAUCCCGAGACGUCACACGGUGCUUAAGGCCACACGCGGCCUCAAGCUAACCCUCUAAAACUGUCAUCACUUCUAGAACUCACUUUGACAAUAGUCGUGCUAAUAUAAGAGAGAAUGACAUAUCAUAAACAUACUGGAAUAAGAUAAGAAACUAGUCUGUACAAUCCAAAAUAUUGAAAUUCUGUACAUACCGAUCCUUUAGUCUGACAAAGCCUCUAUACAUCAAAAUCAAGGAGACAUUGGGACAAACCCCCAACUGAAUCAAGGAGAUAUUGGGACAAACCCCCAACUGACUCAAACAGUACUGAAAGCCAUAACAACAAAAUUGUAUCACAAAAUUAUAAACACGAUCCUCGAACCAUGAGGACUCACCCCUGAGCAGAUGAAAAGAGGCACCCAAAAAUCGCUAACGUGGCUGAGUACCUAAACCUAUAUUAUAAGAAAAUAUAGCCCUUAUAAAAAUAUAUGGGUCAGCACUUUGGAAUGUACUGAGUAUGUGGGGGGCAUGCAACAAUGUAAAUAUCGUCAUCAAUUUCAUGAAAUUAUGCAUAUGUACAAUGAUGGCUCACUUGGAUUGAGUUAGAUUGAAACAUAUUUUUUAUAAUCUCAUCGUAAAUAAAUCAUAUGAUAAAAACCUUAUAAAUCAUCAUAAANNNNNNNNNNNNNNNNNNNNNNNNNNNNNNNNNNNNNNNNNNNNNNNNNNNNNNNNNNNNNNNNNNNNNNNNNNNNNNNNNNNNNNNNNNNNNNNNNNNNNNNNNNNNNNNNNNNNNNNNNNNNNNNNNNNNNNNNNNNNNNNNNNNNNNNNNNNNNNNNNNNNNNNNNNNNNNNNNNNNNNNNNNNNNNNNNNNNNNNNNNNNNNNNNNNNNNNNNNNNNNNNNNNNNNNNNNNNNNNNNNNNNNNNNNNNNNNNNNNNNNNNNNNNNNNNNNNNNNNNNNNNNNNNNNNNNNNNNNNNNNNNNNNNNNNNNNNNNNNNNCAAAUCAAAUCUCUUUCUCAUUUAUCAAAUCAUAAUUAUUUUGAGGAUUCCUAACUCGACUCAAAUCAAAUCAAUCUUUCUCAAUAGCAAAAUGCAUCAAUUCAUUAAAUCAUGGCAACAUCAAUAACUUUGAGGAAAUAUCAAGACUCAUUGUAACAACUCAAUUCUCAUGAAUCAAUAUACUCAAUAAUCCAAUUUUUCAUAAGAAAUAUUAAAGCUUGACACAUAUCUUUAAAGCACUUGAAAUACCAACUCAUGGUAGAAACUUUAAAUUCACAAUAUUAAAUAUCAAGUCAUAAGUUGGAAAUUGUAAAAUAAUCAUGUAUAACAAAGCCUGAACGAUUUAUAUUCUCCUAAUCUCAUGAUGAAGUAAUUUGGAUAUAAACCCACUUGCAAAAUCAUAUAAAUUCAUAAUAAAAAUCAAAGCUUUGAGCACAAGAGCGAAAGAAUUUCUCUUGUUCAAAACCCCACGUACCUCAAUCUUUGAAAUUGGUUGAACUCUAGUGCUUGAUACUUUACUCACACUUGUAAUAAAAAAAAUUCUUGAAGCCCACUCUAUGAGAAACUUGAUUCUUGAAGGAAUCUUGAAGAUUUAUGGAUGAUUUUUGGAAGAUUAAUUCCCUAAAAUAAAACCCUAGAUAUAUUUCUAAAGAGAAUUGGAAGAGAGAAAUGAAGAAAUUAGGUUUUGGAUGAGGAUUCUCAUAUAUAUAUAUAGACGCCUCCAAAAAUGGGAAAUGACUAAAAUACCCUUGCAAAAAUCGUCCAUCAAUUGCUGAAAAAAAUAGUUAAUGACAUCUGUGAUAAGCUGUCAGGCCCAUGAUAGGCCAUCACGAAUUGUCGUCACAAAAAGGGUGGAUUUUGUGACUUUCUGCCUUAAGGUGAUGACAUUUUGUGAUGGGCCGUCAGGCUUGUGACAAGUCAUCACAAAAGGUCGUCACAGAUUUUCCAGGCUGUCACGUUGGAGUAAAAUAAGCAUAACUCUUUUGCUCCAAUAUCGGAUUUUAAUGAAAUGGGUACCGUUGGAAAGAUAAUUCAAUUAUAUAUCUUUUGGUAGGUGAUGAGAUAAAUGAUUCAUAGUACAACGGGAGAUAUGCUCAUUUAAAGUUAACUAUGCCAAAAUCCUUCUCAAGAAUUCAAUGGGUAAAGAAUGUUUUGAUUCGCCCAAGCGUUAGGACAUCUUUAAAGACUUAAUACACAUCUCCCUUGACCAGGAAACAACCAAAACACUAUAAUGUAUUUCUCAUGGGCUUAAGUCAUGGCGGCACUAUUGGUUAGAAUCUCGGGGUAUUACAAUACCUCCCCCUUGGAAAUAUUCAUCCUCAAAUAUUGCCAGAUAGGCCAAGAACAAGAUAAAAAUGAGGACGUAUAGUUGGAACGACUUACUCGAAAGACUUAAUUCACUCUAUACCUUCGAAUACUAUAGAAAAUGCACAUAUUCGUGAUGAAAGCAGACACACUGCUGAAUCUUUAAUAAGAAGGGGGUGGAAUUAAGAAAGAAUGAUACCUUCUACUCGCUCAGAACUCACAGAUAAGAGGUGAGGGUACUUGGAUCGCAUAUCAUCUUUGUCUUCCUAAGUAGCACUAUCAACAGAUUGAUUUCGCCGAAGCACUUUAACCAAAGCAACUUCUUUGUUCCUUAGCCUAAGGAUCUGAAAAUCCAAAAUCUUAACUGGAAUCUCCUUGAAUGAAAGACUAUCCUGAAUAUCUAAGCUUUCAGAAGAAUCAACCAUGACAGAAUCACCAAUACACUUCUUAAGCAUAGAAACAUAAAAUACCGGAUGAACGCUAGACAACUCUGUGGGUAAAUCCACCUCAUAAGCUACUUUGCCAACAUGGCUCCGGACCUUGUAUGGACCAACAUAACGGGGACUAAGCUUUCCCUUCUUCCCAAAUCUCUUUACCCUUUUCAUGGGUGAAACCUUCAAGGACACCAAAUCAUUAACAUUAAACUCAAGAUCUUUUCUUCUCACAUCCGCAUACGACUUCUGAUGACUUUGAGCGGUUUUCAAUCUUUCUCAAAUCAACUUAACUUUUUCCGUAGACUCGAACACAUCAUCCAGCCCAAUCAUAGCUACUUCUCCUACUUUAAAUCAACCUAUGGGCGAUCUACAUUUUCUCCCAUACAACUAUUAUUAUACGCAAAUUCGAUCAAUGGAAAGUGCUCAUCCCAACUACCUUUGAAAUCAAGUGCACAUGCCCUCAACAUGUCCUCUAAAGUCUGAAUAGUUCUCUCAGCCGGACCAUCGGUCUGCGGAUGGAAAGCAGAACUUAGACAAACUUGGGUAUCGAGACCCUUCUAAAAAGCCCUCCAAAAUUGAGAAGUAAAAUGAGUACCCCUAUCAGAGAUGAUAGCUAAAGGAACUCCAUGAAAUCUUACUAACUCACGGAUAUACAAUCUAGAAUAAUCCUCAGCUAUAUAAGACAAAUGCACUGGCAAGAAAUGAGCUGAUUUAGUCAAUCGGUCUACGACAAUCCAAAUCAAAUCAUGAUGAUGAUAAGAAGGAGGCAAACUAAUUACAAAAUCCAUAUUCACUUCUUUCCAAUUCCAAUUAGGAAUUACAAACUCAUUAAUUACACCACCGAGCCUCUGGUGCUCUACCUUAACUUGUUGACAAGUAGAAUACUUUGUCACAAAUCCUGCUAUGUCUUUCUUCAUACCGUUCCACCAAUAUAUUUCCCGCAAAUUGCGGUACAUCUUGGUAGCACCAGGAUAAUAGAAUAUCGCACACCAUGCAAUUUGUUGACACCUAAUUUUUUCCCUCCACAACUAAAUUUAAUCCUGAGUUUCUUCGAUUCUUAAUAAAAUCGGAAUAUUUAUUUCAUUCGAAUAAAAAAUUUUCAAAAAUAUAUUUGUACGUAAUUUUGUCAUCUUAAGUAGAAAUUAUAUAUUAUCGUAUUCAAAUAUACGAUAUUAUAUGAGUUUAUUACUUAGAUAUUUACUCUAUGAAAUAUCAGAUUUCAAUUAAGGAUCAUUUCGAAAAAUAAUAAUUAAAAUCAUGAUCUAAAUAUAAUUUAUUCUCGAAAAUAUUUUGUUUGGAUAAAUAUGCAUUUUAUUUUAUUAAUUCAAGAAGCUCAGGAUUAAACAAGGUGUUAAUUCGUAUCAAAUUUUUAUUUAAUUUAGUCAAUUUAUUAAAUUAGAACUUAAUUGAAAUUAAUUUGACCAUAAUUGCAAUGUAAUUGGUUAAUUUAAUUUGAAUUAGGCUAAAAUUUAAAAAUGAUUGUCUAAAUUUUCAUCCAUUGGCUGUUUCAUAAAUAGUCUAAAUCUCUACAUUACUAAAAUCCUAAUUCUACCCAACAAUAUUCAGAUCCCUCCUGCCCAGUUCCUUUUCAUAUUAACAGGCCCAAAAUCCCUGACCUGGCCGACCAUCAUCAAAUCCCCCUUUCUACCUUAAUCAGCAAGAACUAGUCCCCAAUGCAAAAAACAACCAAAAAUAGAGUACAACUACAGGAACUUGAACAACAAUGACAAGCUCGAUUCAGUGAAUCCACCAUUGAACCAACUCGAAACCAAUCCUAAACUAUUCUUUUUCCCUCUGUCACGCGUCUCACGCGGCAGUAGGAUAAGAAAAACCCUCGAACCUUCUAGAAAAUGGGCUAGGUGUCAUCUCCAACAGUCCAAUCCCGCAAAUUUUGGGAUAACUCGUACGAACUCAUACAAUAUUUGGCUGAUUUCCAUAGGUUUUGGGGAAGAAUUCAUUUUCCCUAAAUCUCAUUGGUCCACCAAUUUCAAUAUUGGUACAAUUGAUUGAUGAAACCCUAAGCGGUGAGAGGAUUUUCAAAUUUCAAAAUUCAAAAAAUCCUUCUUUUAAAUCCCUAAAAGUAAUUCAGGGGAUAUAAAAAGACCCCUGGGGUCACUAUUUCGGGGAUUAUUGGUUUCUUCUCUCCUGUUCUUUCCCUUAGGAGUUGGAAAUUUUAGAAGCCUCUGUUUGUUUUGUUUAGAGAAAUUUUGGGUUCAAAAAAAGGGGGAAAUCCUUAGGUUGGAAAAUUUUAGGUCACGGUUGAGGGUUACUUUCCCUUCUGAGGUGGAAAAAUUAAGGGAGAAAGCUAGGUUGGAAUAUGUUUUUGAGAAAAAUUUCUAAAUCGAAAAAACUGAGAUAGAGGGAAGAAAGAAAAAGAAAAGAUUUCUGAAGAAAGAUUAAAUCUUUGAAGUUUUCCGGUGGUCAUGAUCCCCGUAUCAGUUCGUCGUCUUGUUUUGCUGCUCCGAAAAAGGUAACCUCCUAUUUUCAUUUAGUUUUCAUUAUAUUUCUUCUUCCUCUCGUCAUUCUAUAGUCAUAACUGUCAUUCUGAAGAUUUUGGAAGCUGGGUUGUCUGCUGUAGAGGUCUUCAUGACCAUAGGUUUCAAUUUUAGUAAAAGGCAAUGUUUCUUUGCAGUUCUACGUUGGGAUGAAUUCCUAUUAUGAUUGUAUGACAUGUGGUUUUCAUCAUCUUUAGAUCUUGAUUUCAUGAUUGGUCAUCUACUCUCAUUAUUACUGCUUAAUUUAUGUCCUAAUGUAUCAUCUUGUGGACUGUCUGUGAUUUGAAGCAGUUAAAGAUCAUAUUUUGAUUCUUGCUUAACAAUUUUCAUCCUCUUGUUGCCUUGAUUCGUAGUUGUAGUUUUAUAAUCUUACGUGUUGAGUGUAGCUCGUUAGGAGGCUAUGAAAGCCCCAAGUUUCAUAUGAUAAACUGUGAGCUUUCAAAAAUUGUUGUUGUUUCUGCAUUUAGGACAGAUUGAUUUUUAGAGUUUUUGAUUUCGUUAUAAUUCAUCUGGGAGCAUUUGCCUUUGUUCAUACAAUGUUUUUGAUGAAAAUUUUCUUUGAAUUCGACUUUCGUGAAUGCCAUAUUGUUUAAAUGAUGAGCUUCUAGCCUAAGGAUUAUUGCUAAAAUCCUGUUCUAAGAAAAUGAAGGGUUACUAAGUAACUUUAUUCCUGUAAACGAUUGAGUAAAAGUGUUGUGUUUCUUUUCAGUUAAAAAGGAUGAUAGGGUCAAAGGGUUUUGCAUUCUCUUUAGGAGUUGCUAUUAUGGGCCUCCUUUGUGACCUUUAUUUAUAUAGGUUAAAUAAAAAGAAGUCUAUUCUAUUUAUAGUAUAUUUUCUCAAUUCACCAGCUUUGAUCUGAGUUUAACACAUACACUUGUAGUUAUUAGUUGAAAAUUGUUUCAAAAAAAAAAAUUAGCUUUUCUUGCGUCGUUACUAACUCGUAUGAGCUUGUAUAUCUCCUUUAUGAAACUUUUAGGAUCCUGUUCAUUUGUCUAUUAAAUACAUCUCUUCCCUCAUCAUCUUAUUGAUGUUGGGCAAAGAAAAUGUUUUUAGUCGCAUUGCUUCUCCCCUAUUUCCUAUUUACUUCAGUACCUAAGGUUAAGAGUUUUGGAUCCGUUUGAAUAUCGAAUAGUUUCCAUGUUUUAUUUAAAGCCAUCCUUUAUUUUUCAUAUUAUCAUUUGCUAAAAAAAUUUUGAUAAGAUAAAAGUUGUUUGCGUGUAGUAUGUGUGGUGACAUGCCUAAUAAUGUGCUUACUCUAUGGGAACAUGUUGUUAUUUCUUCUCUAAAAGAUAGGUCUAGUAAAUUUGGGAGAAAUUCUAUUUUAGUUGCUUCCUGAUUCUUCCCAACUCUUUGUUGUUAUCUUGAGUUUUAGUAAUAGCCAUCUAUACCUAAAAGGGCUAGAGAACAUUAAUCACCAAAAUAAAAAUAUAUAUAUAUAUAAUAAUAAUAAUGAUUAACUCCUGCGCACAUCAAAUUGGUUUGACUGCUAUUUUCCAUCACAAUGCACGUGUGAAGUUUAUUCAUUUCUCUUGAAAUUCUAUAUUUUGAACCAUAGUGGGUUCCUUUUCAUUGAUUGAUCCAUCAUACUACUUAUUUGUGUGGCGUUUGGUAUUUUGGAUGCGUUUUGAUUUCCUUUAUCUUUUGCCUUGCAUGUGAAUUCGUUUUGGAGUCCGAAUGGAUUCUUUCCCAUUGCAUCUCUUAAUGGGCCAUUGAGGCCCUCCAUGACUAUCAAAUGAAGCCCCAAAAGAAAGCCUAAAAUAAAUUUCAUGGUGUACGAAUACGAGAAGUCGAAAGAAGAGAGAAGAUGGAUUGAAGCCCCAUCUUUAAAGUGGCGAAGAGACUCAAAAGUCUCAUUUAUUAGUUUAUUUAUUUACUUAUCAAUUUUAUUCAUUUUAUUUAUUUAUUUAUUUAUUUAUUUAUUCAUUUGGGCCACGAAGCCAAAGUUGUACUUAAUAUAGGUGGAGCGAUACUCGAGCCAACUACUCGAAAACAAGACUAGGACAGGUGAAAUGGGUCGAAAGCCCAAUUAGACUAGGACAGGUCUUAUUGAUUUGGGCCAAGUGGCCUAAAUCCCUUACUUUCUCCCCUUCCCCUUUUUCUUUAUGUUUCUUUACCUUAUCUGUUUUGGUGAACCUUGUUAAAUCCUUUGUCAAGUCGCUAAAAAGCUGGUUCUUCAUAAACACCGAAAUCUUUUUCUAAAAUUGCCUUCUUUUCAAAACUAAACCUUUUUCAAAAGUUAGUCAAUGACGAUUUCCAAAUAGUACGGAUAACCGCAAGUUAGCGGACGUUUUAGGUGCCUAACACCUUCCUAAAAUGUUAACAAGAACCGCUUACUCAGAAUCUCUUAACUUAAAUGAUUUUCCUAUUUUGGUUCAUUUGAAGUAACUCUAUAAAGGUUACUUAAUUCCUUUUCAAAAUUAAGUGGCGACUCUCUUUCAAAAGUCAAAAUUUCUGCAAAACAGAAAUGGCGACUCUGCUGGGGACUUUUCAAACUAGGUUCUAACCAAAUGUUCGAUUUCGUCUUUUGAUUAACUGUUUAUGUGUUUAUAUUAUUCGAUUCUAUUAAUAUUAACUAUCGUAUCUCAUGGCAUACCCCUGCAUUAUUUAAACUGUUUUGGGGUUUUGUAGAUGUCUAACUUUUUAUGAGGUCCUGUCUAACUUUUUAUAAGGGACUCUAUUCUGAAUAUAACAUGCAGAUAAGACAACUUCCCCGUCAUAUAGUCAGGUAGACCUGAGCUUAAAAGCAUAAAAUUCAUCAUUUUCUUAAGUGUUCUAUUCUUUCGUUCUAUUACACCAUUUUGUUGGGGUGUAUAGGGAGCACAAAACUCAUGGAUAAUGCCUUUUUUUCUCACAAAAAUCUUCUAGAGUUUUAGUACUAUAGAGGUAGACCAAUGAAAUAUUGGAGGGAGGUGAUUAGGCAUGAUAUGGUGCUAUUACAGCUUACAGAGGACAUGACCCUUGAUAGGAAGGUGUGGAGAACACGGAUUAGGGUAGAGGGUUAAGGGGUUGGAGGGCGGCGCUAGUAAUGGGGAGUUUCUGGUUCGUAGUAUUGUUGUUGUAGUUUUUGGGGUUAGUGGUGUUGGCUUUUUGGCAUCCCGUACUAGUUUAUUAUGCACUUAUCUUUUGUGUUUUUUAUACUGUUAGUUUAUUUUGUGCACCAUACUAGUUUAUAUGCACUUACUUUUUGUAUUUGUUAUACUGUUAUUGGUCCAAAACCGGGGUUCUAUCGGAAAUAACCUCUCUACUUUUCUUGAGGUAGUGGUAUGGUUUACGUACACUCUACCCUCCACAGACCCCACUGGGUGGGAAUACACUAGGUAUGUUGUUGUUUUUGUUGGGGUUUCAUGGAUGUCCCGGCCCCUGUUGUUCAAUUCAAAAAUGUGUUGGAAAUACAAAUGGUUUAUUAUCACGUGAGUCGUCUGACGCUGUUCGUAUUUUCAAACUCAAGUUGUUCGCUUGUGAACUAAUGUUCAAGCCCACUCUAGACACUGAGGAUAGAACGAAACCAAAACCCUAUUUUAGGCAUGAGCCUAGGAUGACCCAUUACCCGAGCGGGGUAUUGGGUCCAUUAGAGAACCCGCCCUACGUCUGUUGACCCCGAGUCAACUAUAGACGAAUAAUAUUUAUGUGUUGAUAAAAAUACAUACUUUUCUAAUUCAAUCCAAUAUCCUUUGGGGUCGGGGGAAGGCUUAUCUUUAUCUGCUUUCAUGUAGGAUAUGGCUCAACUACAUUCCUUCGAAAAGUUCAAGAUGGUUACUAAACUUGAUGAUUUCUUGAAACUAUGGUGGGACCAUAAGAGUGCAGAAGAGAAAAAGAUUGUUAGAACACACAUUGGGCAUCUUCCUUCUUUGAUCGAGAUGGACGCUUAGCCCGAAAUGAUCCAUGUACUAACAACUUUUUGGGAUGAUCAGAAUAUGGUAUUUCACUUUGGGGAUGUUGAAUUGACUCCUUCCAUUGAAGAGGUAUUGAUUUGUUAUGAGAGUACGGAAAUGUGUUUUGAGAGAAGGGAGACACCUAAUAAGAACAUUUUAGUCCCGGUAGUGUGGGAUCGUAAAAAGAUCAAGGGGGUAUUUUUAACUGAUGAUGACACUUGGCUAGGAGAACGUGACGGAACAAAUAUCACUUUAUGUGAGUUGUAUCGUCGGUUCAGGAGAGUCAAUACUUUUCACAAAUUUAGGCACAAAUAUGAGUCAGAACCAAAAUGGAAGGAGACGAGACCCUUUGCAUUUGCGGUAGGCCUACUUGGAACCGUGGUGUUCCCAUAAGGGGAAAAUGUCACAAUUCAUCCGACGGUUGUUUCAGUGAUCCAUGCACUCUUCUUUGGAAUGGAUUACAAUUCUAAAAAGGUAUUCCACAACUUAGCUCCCAUGAUUAUCGCUGACAUAUAUCGAGCUUUGGGAAGGGUUCAAGUCGAGAAUCGUUUCUUUCAAGGAUGCAACCUUAUAUUACAAUAGUGGAUAAUGAUGCAUUUGGGAAAAAAAUCCUAGAACGGCAUAACCCGACCACAAAUCAAGGUGGAAUCUGCUAGAAUAGCAUGACAUGUGGUUGUUUUUACACAAAUUCAAAAGGGAAGCAUCUCAUGAUUUUUGGUUUAAGACUUUUGGAGCAUUAAGAGAUGACGAUGUCCAGUGGUCCAUUAACUAUCUUCUUUCGGGGAAAUACAUUAUUCGAGGAGGCAAGUGGUCUUUUCUAGUACUUUCGGGUCUUAAGGGAACCCAUCCCUACAAUCCUGGAACAGUUCUUAAGCAAUUCGAGAUCAAGCAGGAGAUACCUCAAAUAGAUUCUAUGCUCAGAUUCUUCACCGAAUAUGAUGAAAGUGAGCCCCCGCUCAAAGACUACAUGAUAAAUGGAUGGAGAAGGAGAAGGUGGAUGGAAGUCUCUUUUCGUAUAGGGUAUGAACCUUAAGUCAGUGAUACUUACAAGGAGUGGUUAAAAAUGAGCCUUGCCGGAGCAUUGAUUCCGAGGCUGAAGAUGCCCACUGGGGUCGUGGAUGUAGAAUUCAAGCAUCAGAUCCAAUUCCACAGUCUUCAGGAUAAAUUUUAGAAAAGUGAAAUCACGCACUGAUAGACAUAUACAGAAGAUUCUUUAAUAAUAUGUAUGUUGAGGGAAGAGUUGAAAAGAGCUAGGCAAGAGGAUGAUGAUGCUAGGCAGUGUUUAAUCAAUUUGGAUGAUAGCAUGGCCUCUCAACUCGAUAGUAUAGGAAAAUUGACUUACGCCUGCUAGGCACAGUUAUGCGAGAGUCAUCUGAUCAUCAAUAGGUAUCAAAUAGCACAGGAGGUUAACAAGGCAAAGAAGGCAAAGACAGACGAAGGAGCCUCCGGUAGCUAGUUUUUCUAUUUCCCCUGUGUGGGAACUUAUUUUUUUCACGUUAUUUCCCUUUUUUUACAUAAGAUUGUAUCCCUCUUUUGUUAUUUUUUGUAGGAAUUUAUGCCCUUUUUCAUGUCUAUAUAAGUUAGGGGAUAAUGGAUUGACUUUAAGGAAACAUAUAUUUUCUUCAAAAUCGUUAGGCCUGAACCCUUCGUCCAAAAAAGGUCACCCCUAUUAGGAUACACAUUAUUAUAAUUUUUUGUGUGAUAUAAUUGUCUUAUAUGAUUAUGUAUGUUUAUUUGGAUCAAAGGCAAGUUUAUCCGCCAUACUCCUAUGGAUGAAUUUAGCUAUGACUCAAACAACUCUAUGUGGUUAUUUCUUGUCAAAUAUUUUGCAUUACUUAUCACAUACGAAAACUAACACAUCUGCCUUUGAGUUGUUUUACUUAAAAAAUAGUAGAAACUACUCCGUGUUGAUAUAAGCUAGCAGAAAGUCCCUACAUCACCCGGUCAAAAGCGGACAAAAUCCCAUUCUCUGACCAUCAUUAAAUAAUGACCAGAAAUGAUGAAGAAAAUACAUUGACCAUCAGGGACAAUCAUAUAGCAGAACAGAGUGAGAUGAUUGCGAAAUUCGCAAGAAAGCUUGACAUGCUUCAGGAGGAAAUAAAUCAUGCUCGAGAUUUGGCUCACCUGGCCAUCACUGUUAAUGCUCCCGCUCUAGGAAGACACGAGACUCCACUCCAAAUCCCUUCCCUCAGUACGCCUAUUCUAGGGGAUCAGCCAAAAAACAUAUCGUCCAUCUCUGCCCCUCCACUUGUCCAAAAUACCUGUCAUGAAAAUAACCCAGAUGCCUACCAUCCACAAAAUCCACCACUAACACCACCAAACCCAUCUUCAAAUCCAUUCCCAAAUCCCCAGAACCAUUUGCAAAUCAACAAAAUUCGUGUCCAAAUCCACAAGAUUCACUCCCAAAUCCAAAAAAUCCAUCCUCGAAUCUUCCAUUGAAUCUAUCCCCGAAUCUACCAAAUUUGUUUCCAAAUUCACAAAAUCCUUCUCAGAUGCCACCAAGAUACUCGCAAAUUUCACAAAACCUUUCUAAAUUUCAAAACGUCCUCCCCACCUACCAACUAACUUUCUUUCAUCCGCAAAAUCAAGCCUUCCUUCCAAAUCCUCCUCUUGCCAUCAUAUCCCCUGACAUCUAUAAUCCCCUUCCUAAUCCGGAGAUGGACCAUUCCGAAGAAAAGGAGAAAGAAUGGAGGACCAAGCAUGAAAUGAAGUUGCUAGCUAUGUUUGAAAAAAUCAGGAGGAUCAAAGAAUCUCAUAGAGCGAGGGACCAUGAAGGUUUAGGGUACAAUGACUUAUGUGUUCACCCUAGAGUAGAUCUACAACAAGGGUAAAAGGUCCCUAAAUUUGAUGUGUUUGAUGGUGUCGGAAAUCCAAUGGCCCAUAUGAGGAGGUACUAUAAGCAACUCGUGGAGAUCGAGAAAAAUGAGGCGUUACUGAUGUUCCUAUUCAACCAAAGUUUAAGUAGUGAAGCCUUAGAGUGGUUCAUGUCUCAGCAGCCAAAAAAAUGGACUGGUUGAAAGUCUUGGUCAAGGGUUUCCUCGACAGGUUCGCAUUCAACAUUGAAAUAGUCCCGGACCAGUAUUCACUAGAUUGAAUCAAACAAAAGAGUGAUAAGUGUUUCCGAGACUAUGUUUUUCAUUGGAGGAAGGAAGCUGCCAAAGUACAACCCCCAUGUCCGAGGAUGAAAUAGUAUUUACGUUCUCUCGCGCAUAAGAAGAAGAAUAUUAUACCAGGAUGGUGUCCGCUGUUAGGGCGACUUUCGUGGAUUUGGUACAAAUAGGAGAAUAAUUGGAAGAGGUAUUCGGAUAGGAAAAAUUAUGAAAAAGCCGACAUCAUCCGGGACUACUAUGUUCUUGAAGAAGAAAAAGGAAGAUGUAAGCACAAUUUCUGCUGGUUCUGUUGCAAAAACAAAAAAGAGAUUCAACUCUAGGAAUGCUUUCUCUUCUCCGUCCUCACCAAACCUUCAGCAUGUGUUCUACGCCCACCGCCAAUACCAAGCUCCACUUUCAAAUGUCCAACCUCAUUACCAAACUCUACUCCCAAACAUCCCAUCUCAGUACCAAACUCCACUUCCAAAUAUCUAAUCCCAAUACCAAGCUCCACAACCAAAUAUCUUUCCCCAAUAUCAAGUUCUACCUCCAAAUUAUCAGUCUCAUGUCCAAUCCACUCUUUCAAAGAACCGAAUAAAUAUCCAAGAACCUCCAAAUUAUCAUCAAGUACCUCCUCCUGCAAAGCAAAGCCACUAUAACCUCCCACAUCUAAACUACGAAAAGAAACCUCCGCGAAACUUCACACCACAAGCUGAAAGUUGCACUCAAAUGUUUGAAAGACUAAGAACGCUGGUCAUUUGCAACCGAUAUAGUCAAAUCGUGUCAAUCCCAACUCCCAAUUUUAUCAUCCUGAUCAAAAUUGUACCUAUCAUUCAGGAGGAGCAGUAGGGCACAGUACCAAGGACUAUUUUAUCUUGAAACACAAGAUCCAAGAUCUGAUUGAUCAAAAGGUUAUCACGCUUCAGUCAACAAUCCAAAAUGUCAACAAAAACCCAUUGCCUAAUCAUGGGGGACCUACAAUUAACAUGAUUGAAAUGGAAGGAGAAUGGGCAUCUGGCAAGACUAUUACUAAGGUGAAUUCAGAAGAGUGCAAAAGGGAGGAAGAGGUAGAAAAGAUAGAGAGAGUUGUAGCUGCCUUAAGUGUCAAUGAGAAAGCCCCAUUUAUAGUGAUUAUGGCCUCGAUCCAAGUGUAAACUCCCCCGCCAAGGAAGGAAUUUAUUGUACAGACCGUUGCUGCCCAAGGGAUAACGCGGUUAGGACGAUGCUACAUCCUUCAAGAAUUUACCAACAAAAAAUAAUUCACAGAAAAGGCUAAUCACUAAAGGGGAGGCUAAGGAAUUUUAGAUGCAUAUGCAACCGAAAGAUUAUUUAAUUGUCAAACAUUUAGAGAAGACGCCAGCCCAAAUCUCCAUUUUGGCACUAUUAAUGAGUUUACAAUACCUCCGACAAGCUUUAUCGAAGGUCUUGGAUGAAGCGUAUGUUCCUGUAGGAACGAGUAUUGAGAACCUAGCUUCGAUGAUAGGAAGAAUUAUGGGGAAUUUUUGCAUAUUAUUCAGUGAUGAAGAGUUGCCAUUUGAAGGAGCGAUGCACAACAAACCCUUGCAUGUCAUUGUUAUUUACCGAGAUUAUGUGAUUAAUCAGGUAUUAAUAGAUGAUGGAUCUGGUAUAAUUUUUAACCCCUCUCCACGUUGGUUCAAAUGGGCCAUGAUUUGGGAAAAAUUUGUCAAAGCCACAUAAAUGUGAGAGCAUACGAUGGAGGGUAGAGAUAUAACAUAGGAUAAAUUUAUUUGUUUAUCCAAAUGGGACCUGUUGAGUUCACAACUAUGUUUCAUAUUAUGGAUAUUCAUCCUAGCUACAACCUACUCUUGGGAAGACCAUGGAUACAUAGUGCAAAGGACGUUUUAUCACCCCUUCAUCAACUAUUGAAGUUCAUUUGGGAGGACCAUGAAGUAGUCAUCCAAGGGGAAGGAAGCCGAGCAGAUCGUCCCAAUGGUUAUGUGCCAGUGAUUGAAGAUGUUCCAAAGGGUAGUAGUUUCAGUACGGUUAAAAUUAUAAAUAUUAUGGAGAAGGAUCUGACGCUCAAAGAGCCAAUGCCUUCUAUCUACAAAAUGAUUGUGGCGGUGAUACUAAGAAAUAGAUUCGAGCCUGGUCGGGUUUGGGUAAUAAUCUACAAAGAAUUAUUGAGCCUGUUAUAAUCCUAGAGAAAGCCUCUAAGUAUAGGUUAGGAUAUUAGCCUACCGAGAAGGAUAUAGUUGAGGAUAAGUUAGAGAAGAGUUUGUGUAGGCCCUUUCUGCUCCUGUACCAGUCAUUUCCUGUAUGGGAUGUGUUGAAUAAUGAUGGUAUUGAGGAUGGGAUAGGAGAUUUGUUCGAGGUAUGCAAUGCUAUACCAGAAGAUUUCCCAAAAUCUGGCAGGGUGAAGAAGAUUGCGCCAGUUGAGGCCUUGCAAAAAUGGACCUCCACUCCACUCAUAACCCAUCGCCCAUUGUGGUAGAUGAAAGGGCAAUUACUAAUAGUUUUAAAAUCAGUGAUGAUCUGAAAGAGGCCCCGCGAUCCACCUUUUAUAUGUCAAAACUUUCUUUUUGUAUUUUACUGCUUUUGAAAAGAUAUGGACUUGUAUUUUCGCUAGUCAUGAGCCAUGGUUUUGUAAUUAUCUCGAAAAUUUCAUUAAAAAGUCCUUCAUUCAUUUAAAAAAAAUUAUUAUUCUUAAAACAUUCCUAUUCAUAUAUUUUAUUAUUAUCUCACUAUCAUCUAACUUGGUUUGUUUGUCCAUUAAAGUAAUAGUAACCUAAAAUCUUCCAAUGUCAUGUUAUGUCAAAGCUUAGAUGAACAAAAUGGAGGGAAUGAUGAUGAUUGGAAGGACAGUGAUGAGGAACAAUUAGUUGAAGAUAUAGAGGAGUUUGAGAAUCGAGAAAAGCCUAACCUAGAGGAAACUAAAAUAGUCAACCUUUGAGAUCAUCAUGAAAUCGAAGAAACAAGUGUCAGCGUCCACCUGGCAAAAGCACAAAAGAGAGAGCUCAUUCACCUGUUGCGGAAAUAAAUUGACGUGUUUGAUUGGUCCUAUGAUGAUAUGCUGGGAUUGAGCACCAGUGUUGUGUCGCAUAAGUUGUCGAUAAAUCCAGAGUUUGAUCCAGUCAAGCAAAAAAUGCGGAAAUUCAAGCCAUAUUUAAGUUUAAAGAUCAAGGAAGAAGUGAAAAAACAAAUCUAGUCUAAGGUUGUGGAGGUCACAAAAUAUCCGACGUGGUUGGCCAACAUCGUCCCUGUGCCGAAGAAGGACGGCAAGAUUCGAAUUUGUGUUGACUAUAAAGACUUGAAUAGAGCCAGUACUAAGGAUAAUUUUUCAUUGCCUAACAUCCACAUCCUCAUCGAUAACUAUGAAAAGCAUUAAAUGAAGUCCUUAAUUGAUUAUUUCGCCAGGUAUCAUCAGAUAUUGAUGGAUGAGGAAGAUGCAGAAAAUAUGGCUUUUAUUUUUCCCUAGGGUGUUUAUCAUUAUAGGCUAAUGUCGUUUAGUCUCAAGAAUGCAGGUGCAACAUAUAUGAGGGCUAUGACGAUGAUUUUCCAUGAUAUGAUCCAUAAAGAGAUUGAGGUGUACGGGGAUGAUAUAAUUAUCAAAUCUGGCGAGAGUUUGAAUCAUCUGAAUUAUCUAGAGAAAUUCUUCAACAGAUUAAGAAAGUAUAGUUUGAAGUUAAAUCCUGCUAUGUUUGCUUUUGGUGUGCCAUCAGGGAAGUUGCUAGGGUUCUUAGUUAGCAGAAGAGGCAUCGAUUUAGACCCAUCCAAAAUCAAGACAAUCCAGGACCUCCCACCACCGAGGACCAAGAAGGAAGUUAUGAGUUUCAUGGGUCAUUUGAAUUACAUUAGCAGGUUCAUCUCUUAAUCGACAGUUAUAUGCGAGCCAAUUCUCCAGAUGUUGAAGAAAAAUGCAUUGAAUGAGUGACAGAAGAAUGUCAGAGAGCUUUUGACCACAUCAUGGAAUAUCUGUCUGCACCGCCGAUUUUGGUUCCACCAAGAGAAGGAAUUCCAUUAUUGCUUCUACCUGUCAUUCUCAGAAAAUGCUUUUGGAUGUGUCCUCAGGAAACAUGAUGUGACCGGUAAGAAAGAGAAAGACAUUUACUACUUGAGUAAAAAGUUUAUGCCAUAUGAAGCCCGUUAUACUCUUGUAAAAGGGACAUAUUGCGCUUUGACUUGGGCCGCACAAAAGUUAAGGCAUUAUCUGUCUUCGUAUAUGACAUACCUCACUUCGAGAAUGGAUUCAUUGAAGUAUAUAUUCCAGAAGUCCAUGCCUACAGGAAAGCUAGCAAAGUGGCAAAUAUUGCUGAGCGAGUUUGACAUCGUGUAUGCAACUCAAAAGGCAAUCAAGGGGCAAGAUUUGGCAGAUUAUUUGGCAGAGAAUCCAGUUAAUGAUGAGUAUGAACCACUUCGAACUUACUUACCAGUCGUGGGAGAAGACAUUACAAAAAUUUACCCUGGAUGGAGGUUAUUCUUUGAUAGAGUGGUGAACUUCAAAGGUUCAGGAAUCGAAGAAGUGUUGGUCUCAGAAAUGGGUCAACAAUAUCCAGUAACUGCUAAGUUGCAUUUCCCAUGAACCAACAACAUAGCCGAAUAUUAAGCUUGCAUCCUGGGUCUCAAAUUGGCACUUGAUAUAGGUGUUCGUGAAUUGCUAGUCAUCGGGGAUUUAGAUUUGCUGAUUCACCAGGUACGGGAGAAUGGGUGGUAAAAAAUUCCGAGAUUACUCCUUAUGUUGAGCUGGUACAGGAAUUAUGUGUAAAAUUUAAAGAAGUUGAUUUCAGACAUAUCCUAAGGAUACAAAAUGAGUUUGCUGAUGCUUUGGACACUAUAUCCUCCAUGAUUCGGCACCCAGAUCAGAGUUACAUUGAUCCUUUGGAAAUAAUCUUGAAACGCAUUGUGAACGUGUUGAAGAGAGCCCAAUGGAAAGCCAUGGUACUAUGACAUUAAAAGGUAUUUAGAAUCUGGAAUAUAUCCUUAAGAGGCCAACAAUAACGAAAAGAAAACAAUCUGGCAUUUGGCAAAAAACUACUUUCCAAGUGGGGAAUUUCUUUUUAGGAGGACGCCUAAUUUAGGAUUUUUGAGAUGCGUCGAUGCUGCAGAAACCAAUAAAUUGAUAAAAAAGUACAUGCAAGAGUUUGCGGACCCCAUAUGAAUGGGUUUGUCCUUGCCAGAAAGAUCCUGAGAACAAGCUACUUCUUGAUGACUAUGGAGAAUGAUUGUAGUAAGUAUGUGCAGAGAUGUCCAAAAUGUCAGUCACACAGAGAUUUGAUUCGAAUGCCUCUACAUGAGCUUCAUACAAUGAAUUCACCUUGGCCUUUCGUGUCUUGGGGCAUAGAUGUUAUUGGACCGAUAGAGCCAUCAACAUCGAAUGGGCAUAGAUUUAUUUUGGUUGCCAUUGACUACUUUACUAAGUGGGUCGAAGCUGCAUCAUACAGAGCCAUCACUAAGAAAGUAGUUGCAAUUUCAUCAGGAAUAACUUGAUUUUUUGAUUCGGAGUGCCGGAAUCAAUCACUAAUGAUAAUGGGGAAAACUUGAACAAUCAAUUGAUGAAAGAAAUUUGUGAUCAGUUCAAAAUUGUGCAUCACAACUCGGCCGCAUAUCAUCCACAGAUGAAUGGAGCCAUAGAAGCUGCCAAUAAGAACAUCAAGAAGAUAUUGAGAAAGAUGGUUGAAAACGAUAGAUCAUGGCAUGAGAUAUUACCUUAUAUUUUUCUAUGAUAUCGCACAAUAGUUCGAACCUUCAUUGGGGCAACUCCCUAUUUGCUGGUUUACGGGAAUUAAGCUGUGAUACCUGCUGAGGUUGAAAUACUUUCCCUGAGGAUUAUUCAAGAAGCCGGACUAAGUAACAAAGAGUGGGUUUGCGCUCGUUGAGAACAACUCAUGUUGAUUGAUGAAAAGAGAAUGGUUGCCAUGUGUCAUUGUCAGUUAUAUCAGCACAGGAUAAUUCGUGCUUUCAAUAAGAAAGUGAGAGCUCGAACAUUUAAAGUUGGGAAAUUAGUUCUCAAAUGCAUACUCCAUCACCAAGAAAAGUACAAGGGCAAGUUCACUACAAAUUGGCAAGGUGCAUACAUAGUUCGCAAGGGACUAUCUGGAGGGGCUCUGAUUUUGUCUGAGAUGGAUGGCCAUGAGUGGACCAAACCAAUCAAUUCUGAUGAGGUGAAAAGAUACUAUGUUUGAAGGGAGUUCUAGUUUUAUGGUUCUUAGUUUAUCUGUAAUCGCGGUGUAAUAAUGUGUUUUAUGAUGUGUAAUUGCCUAGAACACCUUUCCCUUUAUGUACGAACUACGUUUGACCUGAAUUCCGAAGAAAGGGAUACGUAGGCGGCCCAUGUCGGCUUCAGUCAACCCCUUAAAAAAUUUAUCCUUUCCCUUUAUGUAUGAACUACGUGAUGACCUGAAUUCCCAAGAAAGGGGUACGUAGACGGCCAAUGUUGGCUUCGGUCAACCUAUUAAUUUCUUUUGUAUAUCCUUAGCGUAGUCCUGAACUAUGUUUGACCUGAUUCCUGCUUCAACGGGAUACGUAGAUGCCCCAAUGGCUCAGUCAUAUAAAACCAGGAAAUGAAAACUAGGGCACAAUUUUUUAGAAGGAAUCUCUAAAAUUCACAAGAGAAGAUCAAUAUCCAACAAAGAGAAUGAAGAUCAGCAAAGACUUCAGAUCCACUCAAGAUGAUCUCAUCACAGCCUACUUUAAAUUGGGGCAGAAAUUUUUAGGGAGGCCAUAAAAUUUCAAUCAAAUACUGGAAUAUAUUUCAGAUUCCCCAGCACUAGAGGUCGAAGUUGAGAUUUGAGAAUAACUACCUGUGAUAAAGUCUAGGAAGACUGAAUCUCUAUCUUUGAUAAAACCUUUGGUAGAGAGCCUCGAUAAUGAUGAAUCCCUAGCUAUCCUCCGUCAUACGUCAGACAUUGUAAGAAUCAAGAGAAAGAAGGUCGUUGAGCUAGCACAUGACAUGAGUAGCAAGGAUUUUUCAAAGUUUUGCAGGAGUUCUCGAAACUAUUUUCUAAAAGUUGAGAGUACUUUCAAAAAAUAUAUAUAAAUCUUUUACUUAGUGAUUGCCUAGACAUCAAUUAGGACGGAGAGUGAUGGGUGGAAGUCCCAAUCAAAUACCUAAAAGAUGGCGAAGGGAAAAUCAAGGAUCGAAGGAGGUCAACACGGAGUAGUUUCACUCAAACUAAUCAUUUUUUGUGGGCACAGGGGCCAAUACAUAAAAAUGAGAGUCUCUUUCAAAAAUCCCCGAGCAAAUUGCGAGCCACACCAGAGCACUAAUUAUUAAGAACGGUAUUUUUGGGUAGCCCUAAAAAUGGGUUUAGUACCCAUAUAUUGAAGACCUUUUGAAGUGUCCAUAUUAUUUCUUGAGAUCAUGGAGGACAAGCAAAAGUGUCUUGUCUCCUUUACAAAUAUUGUAUUUAGAAUUUUUCUAAAAAACAGUCGCUAGCAAAAGUGACUUUGUGUCCACUAAUCGUCUACCUUGAGUACAGGUACAUGCUGAAAGCAAGACCCUGACAAAUGAUUUUAGGUGAAACUAUUUUUAAUUUACUGGAAGAACCAUUGCAUAUCAUUACCGAAAGGAUCAUUGCAUAAUAUCGCCAAGAAUCUUAUACCAUUUCCCAAGAAGGAUAUUCAAUAUCUGUUGAUACACUAGACACAACGCUGGCGUCAAGGAUAUCAUCAACAUUCAAUAUAUCUAUUGACACGCAAGACCCAAUGCUGGCGUCGAGGAUAUCAUCAUCAUUCAAUAUCUGUUGAUACACUAGACACAACGCUGGCAUUGAGGAUGUCAUCAUCAUUUUAUAUCUGUUGACACGCAAAACACAAUGCUGUCGUCGAGGAUAUCAUCAUCAUUCAAUAUCUAUUGACAUGCUAGACAGAAAUGCUGGAGUCGAGGAUAUCAUCAUCAUUCAAUAUCUAUUGAUGUGCUAGAUAGAAAUACUGGUGUCGAGGAUAUAAUCAUCAUUCAAUAUCUGCUGACAUGCUAGAAAGAAAUGCGGGCAUCGAGGAUAUCUCAUCAUUUUAUGAAUCAACAUCUGAAUGCAUCGAGAGUAUUUGAUUUGAAGGGACGCCUUUAAGUCUCUAUCUAAGGAUGAAUGAUAUAUAAGAUUUCCUAGAAAUUGACAAUUUGAGGGUUAUCUAUAAGUCAUAUUAUUCGAAAUAGGAUAGUUCAAAGGUUAUCCAUAAGUCGCAACUAAAUCCUUACCGGAGAAUAUGCAAGAUUACCAAAUUGAUAAGUCUAAGGGUUCUCUAUAAGCCGCGUCAUAUCCAAGACCAAUUAUGUGCAGGAUUACCUAAUGAGUAACAAUAUGAGAGAUUAUCUAUAAGUCAUAUUGUAACCAAGGUCGGAUGACGUGGAGGAACCCUGAAAGGUAGCGAUUAGAAAGAUAUCUUUAAGCCAUCUCUUAUCCAAAGUCAGAUAAUGUGCAGUAUUACCUAAAAGCUAGAAAUUCAAAGGAUAUUUGUAAGUCGCCUCAUAUCCAACAUCAAAUAAUGUGCAAGAUUAUCCAAAGAUUAAAAAUUUAAGAAAAAUUUAUACAUCAAUCAUCGGCUAUAACUGGAGAGGUUAUCAUUCCACAUACAACAAGUGAUAGAGGUAACCAAAAGGGUUUCCACACCAGCACAAGAUUACACGAUUGUAGGGACCGUUCUGUAUAAAGUAUCUACAAUCAACAAAUGUCAUAAUUAUACAACAACCAAGAGGGUUGUUGUGUUUGUUGUUGCCAGAUAUUUCAUUCCAAACAGGUACAUAAAGAGAUGAUUUCGCUUUUCAGGCCACAACUUAUGUGGAGAUAUGGUAAAAGACUACAUACCUUUUUCGUGAAUUAUGUUUAGCAAUAACACUUUUUCUUAAAGCAUUGUUGAGAGCAUCAGAGAGGAUGAAAAUCUCAAAUAAAAACCACAGGUGCGGAUCACUUCAGAUAGAACACAGCAUAAUGUGGAACUUUUUCUUAGCAGCAAAAUAGGACAUAGUCUAAAGAGAGAUGUCAAACUCUCUGGAUGCGAGCUAAAGGAUGAUCACCAUCACCAUCUAACCACGCCCCAAUUAGAAGGCAUGUGGGUAUUUCCGGGAUAUUCUGGUUUCCGCCUCAUCUUUGAGAUAUUUCUAAACUCAUAUCGAGGGUAACCUCCUCUUUCUUUCAAAGUCGGGUGACAACAACCUCAGAGUUUGGAAAUUAUGUCCGCGUAAUGUAUUUUCUAUGGUUGUGAAGGAUCCCACAUUCAUGUUUAAGAGGUUACAAUCCUCUUUUCCAAAACUCGAUCAACUUGUCACUCAUCCUGAGCCAAAGAUCGUCUGCAAUAAAAGACUAUCAUUUCUACCGAUCGAGUCAAACUACAAGUACUCUGAUUCCCUAAAAUCUUGGGGAUAUGUAGGCUGGGAUCUAUGUAGAAAACUCGACUACAUUCUAACCUCCCCCCUAAUCCCUUUAUUCCCCAGUUUCUUGGUUUUAUCAAAAACUCUAAAACCGAGAUAGUUGAUGAAUUUUCUUAAAAAUCGUGCUUAAAAUCAAGCUUUAUGAAAUGCAAGUGGCCGAAAUUCUCAUGAAAACUGAGAUAUGUAGGAAACCUGAUACCAAGGAUCGGCCAUAACUACAUGAAACUCGUGAGGAAAACCAACCUCUCUUAGAUACGAAUUUGUGGUCGGACAAAAAUUGUAAACGUCAACCUCCAUUUUCCCAGAAAUACUUACAUCCAUCCUGCCCAAAGGGAGGGGGUAGUUGUUCACACCUAAGUUUUUGCCCUCCACAACUAAAUUUAAUCCUAAGUUUCUUCACUUCUUAAUAAAAUCGGAAUAUUUAUUUCAUUCGAAUAAAAUUUUUUCAAAAAUAUAUUUGUACGUAAUUUUGUCAUCUUAAGUAGCAAUUAUAUAUUAUCAUGUUCAAAUAUACGAUAUUAUAUGAUUUGAUUACUUAGAUAUUUACUGUAUGAAAUAUCAGAUUUCAAUUAAGGAUCAUUUUGAAAAAUAAUAAUUAAAAUCUUGAUCUAAAUAUAAUUUAUUCUCGAAAAUAAUUUAUUUGAAUAAAUAUGCGUUUGAUUUUAUUAAAUCAAGAAGCUCAGGAUUAAACAAGGUGUUAAUUCGUAUCAAAUUUCGAUUUAAUUUAGUCAAUUUAUUAAAUUAGACCUUAAUUGAAAUUAAUUUGACCAUAAUUGCAAUGUAAUUGGUCAAUUUAAUUCGAAUUAGGCUAAAAUUUAAAAAUGAUUGUCUAAAUUUUCAUCCAUUGGCUAUUUGAUAAAUAGCCUAAAUCGCUACAUUACUAAAAUCCUAAUUCUACCCAACAAUAUUCAGAUCACUCCAGCCCAGUUCCUUUUCAUAUUAACAGGCCCAAAAUCCCUGACCCGACCCACCAUCAACAAAUCCCCCUUUCUCCCUUAAUCAGCAAAAACUAGUCCCCAACGCAAAAAACAAUCAAAAAUGGCGUACAUUCAAGGAACUCGAACAACAAUGACAAGCUCGAUUCAGUGAAUCCACCAUGGAACCAACCCGAUAUAGAUCCUAAACCGUUCUUUUUCCCUCUUUCACGCGUCUCACGCGGCAAUAGCAUAAGGAAAACCCUAGAAUCUUUUAGAAAAUGGGAUAGGUGUCUUAUCCAAGGGUUCAAUCCUACAAAUUUCGGGAUAACUCGUACGAUCUCGUACAAUAUUUGGCUUAUUUCCAUAGGUUUUGGGGAAGAAUUCAUUUUCCCCUAAAUCUCAUUGCUCCACCAAUUUCAAUAUUAGUACAAUCGAUUGAUGAAACCCUAAGCGGUGAGAGGAUUUUUGAAUUUUAAAAUUCAAAAACAUACUUCUUUUAAAUCACCAAAAGACCCCUAAUUUGGGGGAUAUAAAAAGACCCCUUAGGUCACUAUUCCGGGAGAUUUUUUUCUCUUCUUUGAGGUAUUUUUGGUUUCUUCUCUCCUCUGCUUUCCCUUAGGAGUUGGAAAUUUUAGAAGCCUCUGUUUUUUUUUGUUUAGAGAAAUUUUAGGUUCGAAAAAAGGGGGAAAUUCUUAGGUUGGAAAAUUUUAGGUCAUGGUUGAGGGUUACUUUCCCUUCGAAGGUGGAAAAAUUAAGUGAGAAAGCUAGGUUGGAACAUUUUUCUGAGAAAAAUUUCUGAUUCGGAAAAACUGAGAUAGAGGGAAGAAAGAAAAAGAAAAGAUUUCUGAAGAAAGAUUAAAUCUUUGAAGUUUUCCGGUGGUCGUGAUCCCCGUAUUAGUUCAUCGUCUUGUUUUGUUGCUCCCAAAAAGGUAACGUCCUGUUUUCGCUUAAUUUCAAUUAUAUUUCUACUCCCUCUCAUUAUUCUGUAGUAAUGACUGUUAUUUCAAAGAUUUUGUAAGUUGGGUUGUCUGCUGUAGAGGUCUUUAAGACCACAGGUUUCCAUUUUAGUGAAAGCCAAUGUUUCUUUGUAGUGCUACGUUGGGAUGAAAUCCUGUUGUGAUUGUAUGACAUGUGGUAUUCAUCAUCUUUAGAUCUCGAUUUCGUGAUUGGUCAUCUACUCUCAGCAUUACUGAUUAAUUUCCGUCCUAAUGUAUCAUAGUGUGGACUGUCUACGAUUUGAAGAAGUUAAAGAUCAUAUUUUGGUUCUUGCUUAACAAUUUUCAUCCUCUUGUUGCCUUGAUUCGUAGUUGUUGUUUUAUAAUCUUAAGUGCUGAGUGUAGCUCGUUCGGAGGCUAUGAAAGCCCCAAGUUUCAUAUGAUAAACUGUGAGCUUUCAAACUUUGUUGUUGUUUCGGCAUUUAGGACAUAUUGAUUUUUAGAGUUUCUGAUUUCAUUAUAAUUCAUCUGGGAGCAUUUGCUUUUGUUCAUACAAUGUUUUUGAUGAAAAUUUUCUUCGAAUUCGACUUUCGUGAAUGCCGUAUUGUUUAAAUGAUGACCUUCUAGCCUAAGGAUUGUUGCUAAUAUCCUGUUCUAAAAAAAAAGAAGGGUUACUGAGUCACUUUAUUCCCGUAAAUGAUUGAGUAAAAGUGCAGUGUUUCUUUUCUGUUAUAAAGGAUGAUAGGGUCAAAGGGUUUUGCAUUCUCUUUGGGAGUUGCUAUUAGGAGCCUCCUUUGUGACCUUUAUUUAUAAAGGUGAAAUAAAAAUAAGUCGAUACUAUUUAUAGUAUAUUCUCUCAUUUCACCUGCUUUGAUAUGAGUUUAACACAUACACUUAGAGUUAUUAGUUGAAAUUGUUUCAAAAAAAAAAAAAUUAGCUUUUCUUGCAUCGUUACUAACUCGUAUGAGCUGUUAUAUCUUCUUUAUGAAACUUUUAGGAUCCUGUUUGUUUGUCUAUUAAAUACAUCUCUUCCCACAUCAUCUUAUUGAUGUUGGGCAAAAAAAAUGUUUUUAGUUGCAUUGCUUCUCCCCUAUUUCCUAUUUACUUCAGUACCUAAGGUUAAGAGUUUUGGAUACGUUUGAAUAUCGAAUAGUUUCCACAUUUUAUUUAAAGCCAUCCUUUCUUUUUCGUAUUAUCGUUUGCUAAAAAAUUUUUGAUAGGAUAAAAGUUGUUUGCGUGCUGUAUGUAUGGUGACAUGCCUAAUAAUGUGCUUACUCUGUGGGAACAUGUUGUUAUUUCUUCUCUCAAAGAUAGGUCUAGUAAAUUUGGGAGAAAUUCUAUUUUAGUUGCUUCCUGAUUCUUCCCAACUCUUUGUUGUUAUCUUGAGUUUUAGUAAUAGCCAUCUAUACCUAAAAGGGCUAGAGAACAUUAAUCACCAAAUGAAAAUAUAUAUAUAUAUAUAAUAAUAAUAAUGAUUAACUCCUACGCACAUUAAAUUGGUCUGAUUGCUAUUUUCCAUCACAAUGCAUGUGUGAAGUUGAUUCAUUUCUCUUGAAAUUCUAUACUUUGAACCAUUGUGGGUUCCUUUUCAUCGAUUGAUCCAUCAUACUACUUAUUUGUGUGGCGUUUGGUAUUCUGGAUGCGUUUUGAUUUCCUUUAUCUUUUUCCUUGCAAGUUAAUUCGUUUUGGAGUACGAAUGGAUUCUUUCCCAUUGCAUCUCUUAAUGGGCCAUUGAGGCCCUCCAUGCCUAUCAAUUCAAGCACC